rnacentral:lncRNA from 1 species
UGGAGUCGAGAUCCAUGGGGCUCAUGGCUACCUACUUGACCAGUUCAUGAAAGACCAGGUCAAUGAUCGAACUGACAAAUAUGGUGGAUCCCUAGAGAACAGAUGCCGGUUUGCUUUGGAAGUAGUUGAAGCUGUUGUUGAUGAGAUAGGCGCAGACAAAGUUGGAAUCAAGCUUUCUCCAUAUGAUGCUUUUGGAGAAGCAGAAGACUCGAAUCCAAAAGCUCUAGGCCUUUACAUGGCUGAAUCCUUGAAUAAAUACGGGCUUCUCUACUGCCACAUGGUUGAACCAAGGAUGGAAACACUCGGAGAAAAAAGUGAAUGCGCCCAUAGUCUUUUGCCCAUGAGAAAAGCUUUCAAUGGUACGUUCCUUGUUACUGGGGGGUAUGACAGAGAAGAUGGGAACAACGUUGUGGCAGAGAAUCGCGCAGAUCUUGUUGUGUAUGGGCGUUGGUUCUUGGCCAACCCAGAUCUUCCAAAGAGAUUUGCGCUCAAUGCUCCUCUCAACAAGUACAACAGAGAAACAUUCUAUACACCCGAUCCUAUUGUUGGUUAUAACGAUUAUCCAUUUCUUGAAGAUACCGAGUAGAUUCUCAUAGGUGUAGGAUUAGAACUUGAAUUAUUUUUCAGUGAUAUAAAUAGUUUCCAUACUUGUUAUUUUCUUUUGUCCCUUUCAGAUAGUUUCCACGUUAUUGUAAGAAUAUAGAAUUCAUUGAUUCAAGGACUAUCCUGCAUGAUAAUAAAGGGAUUAAUUCCCAUAAUUAUAUUUAGUUUCAUGUUCAUGCUAAUUCCAGCCCACCUUUCCAAAUUUUAAUGCUAAUAAAUGGGCCGUUUCAGGCCACCCCAAUGCACCUCCAGUAGCCCAGCAUAUAGGCUUGUGUGGUUGUACAAGCACUCAAGCGCUAUCUCUGACCGAUGUGGGAUUCAGAUACCAUUUCUCAUAUUUAAAAAAUUAAUUGAACUAAACGGUCCACCCGCACAAGAGAGAGAAAGAGGCAGAACCACCAAACUAUUACCAAUAUAUAUAUAUAUAUAUAUAUAUAUAUAUAUAUAUAUAUAUAAUAUUCUUAAAUAUUAUUUAUAAAUUAUAUUAUAUGUGUAUAAAUUCGUGUAUAUAUAUAUAUAUAUAUAAUUAGAAUAAAAUUGUUUUAGAAGAAAAUAAUUUUAAUUAUCAUAUGUUAUGUAUAAUAAUGUAAUAUAAAUUAAAUAUAAAUUUAUAAAUAAAAUUAUCAACAUUUUAAAAUAAAAAAUAUUUAUACUUUUAUUAUCAUUUUUUUUAUGUCAGUAAAUACAUCCAAAUUAUAUAGAUUUAUAUAAAAUUUAUUUUAAAAUUUUGAACAUUAUUGUUGAAUGUCAUAAUGUGGACCCGCAUUUUUCACGUGCGUAUCCACUCGAUCGGCGAGACUCGCUUUUUAUUUGUGAAAAAUAAUUUUUGGAAAAGUCGGAGUCGCCACUUAUUUUAUUUUUAUUUUAAAGGGAAAAUAAAAUAAGAAAGAAAAACCCUAAAAUGUGACUCCAUAAUUUUUGGAAAAAACAUGUCUUUGAAAAACCCGAGUUUAAGUCCGGGGAUCAGGUUACCUAUUGGGAAGGUACCUUUAAAAGGUAGCCCCCCUCUAAGCCCUCUAAAGGUCUCUACUAACAAAGUUAAGGGAAGUGUGACCAUUAAUCAGUUAAUUAUGGAUACCUAAAUAGGCUAGGUGAUUUUAAAGAGUGGCAUGCCAAACACAAUCAAAUUGCAAUAAAGGAGAGUUAGGGUGCGUACUUGAACCGCUCUUCAAGCGCUAUCAUACAACAUAAGAGUUAGUGUAGGAAUCUAUCACACAACAUAUGUCUUAUCCGAGCAAAUCUAAUAUAUAUUUAAACACCCAAGAAUCACAUCAUGCAUGGAUGUAGUCACCAAUAGCAUACGUGUCUAUAGAAUUCUAAAAAAAAAAGAUGAGAAGGAGCGUACCUGGAUAGCAAGCUAAAGCGCCUUUAUGGGAAGCAAGGUUAGCCCAAUAACAAAUAUAAAACAAAUUCAAGCAUAUCUCCAAGAGGAAUCAAAAUCAAUUAAAUACCAAACAAUCACCUUUAAAAUCAAUAUUAGUGAAGAUAUCAAGAAUGUAGGACCCCCACCAAAGUCCAUAUUACUUUUGCACGAAUUGAUUCAAUGAAUUCCAUUGUUUGGAAUCAUGAAGUUUGUUCAUGCUUGUUGAAAAUCGAGAAAAAUCAAGAAAAUCGGUUGAAAAUCAAAUAAAAUAGUGAAAAUGCAUGCCGAAAGGAAAAUGGCAGUAAGAGUGUGUUAGAAUAUGGAUUUUAUACCUAGAAAAGGACUUAAGAUGAAUUUUUCAAAACCAGGAAUGUUUAGUUGAACAAAGGUUCAAAAAUUCAAUUUAAAACAAUAAGUUCCCAAUCAAAGAAGCAAACAGAGGAGAAGGUGUGUAUAACAAGGUUGCCAUGAAGUGAAGCCGGGAAAUUUUGGAUAGAAGGGACCAAUUCACUGCAAGAGUGUUCAACUGUCAAAUGCUUCAACUUAAAAGACAUCUUGAUUUGUAAGCUCAAUUGGAAGUUGAAUCGUCCUCCUCUUCCAUCCAGCGGCAGGCGCCGGGUGUGAAAUAUCCGAAGAAGGUGGAACGUCGGCCGGAUAGAAUGGCGGCUGUGAGACAUCAGGAUAAGGUAGAACGUUGGCCGGAUAGAAUGGCGGCUGUGAGAUAUCCAGAGAAAAUGGGAUGUCGGCCGGGUGGAAUGGCGGUUGAGGUAUCCGGGUGGAAUGGCGGCUGUGAGACUAAGAACCCUCAAGAACUAUGGUAACCUCUGCAGCUGUUUAACUCCAAGAAAACCCGUUUUACACAGCCUUUAUCAAGUUCCCACCUUUCUCGGAAUGCUCAUGGUCCCCAUAUCCGAGAAUACCAAGGUAAAGAAAGGGAAGAAACGUAGAUACAGAUGCACAUAAAAAAGACCAAUAAAGAAAAGAAGAGAAAACAGGGAAAAGGAAGAUGAUAGGUGGGUAAUCAGAAUAAGUCUCAUUUUAUGCUUUUCAAAAUGGCUUGAAGAAUUGAACACAUUAAGACAAACUUAGUUCAGAUUAUACCAAGAUUUCACAAACAUUAAAGCUCAGCCAUAAAUCUCUGUUUUAGCUAUUUGUAGAAAGAAUCUGGCAGAUUCCUGGCUGCAAUCUCCCUUUUCCUGCUCUUCUACACCUUUCGACCCCUCAUAAUCAAAAGAAUCCUCCCUCUCUCCCUUUCUUCUCUCACGUAUAUAUGUCAGCCUUCCCCAAAAGAACCCCCCAAAUCUGCUGGAGGAAAAUCCCCUCAUUCCUUCCUUUUGUAAUCUACUUUCCUUUCUUAUUUUCUUCCCUUUUAUAACCGAUUCUCCCAUGGAAAUAAUAUAUGUGCUAUCCUUCUAAAAACAAAAUCUCCUCUUUUUUUUCAAAAUUCUGUUGAUUCUCCUUCCAAAUAGAUGACGGCCCGUUUCCUCAUGCCCAAAAAGCCAAGAAAUAUGAUUUAGAAAACUUGUAAUAAGAUAAAAUAAAAUAAAAUAAAAAUAAUAAAGAAAUCCAUAUAAGCCACACAAGUCAUGUAGGCCAUGCAAUCAUGCAAAUCAUAUAAAAAGUGGGUUUAAAAGUGCUUAAAUGGGCCUAAGUGAACUAAGCCUAAUGAAGUGUCUAAGUGGGCCUAAGUAGACUACCCUAAAAGCUAUCCUAAAAAUGACUGAAAAGCCUAAGUCUAAAAUAGGGCUGCCAAAGGUCACAAUAAGGGGUCAGACAAUCCCUCAACCAAAGUCUCCGAGGUGACUCAGAAAAAGGUAAGCCGUAUGAGUAGUAAGGGGCCACCAAGGAGUUACUAUGGAGCAUUAAAAACUAAUUUAAAGACAUGUGCUAAAGGGACAAAAUUGAGGGUCUACACAUAAUUAUAUCAUAUAUAUAUAUAUAUAUAUGACACAGGAAGGGAAGUCGGGAUUGUUUUGAGUUUUUUAUCUAUCCUAGGAAAACUAGCAGUGUGCCUGAGUGCGAUCCUUGUCGACUUGAGCCCGUUGUUAGCCGGAGAUAGGCGUUUGUUAGGGCUGUAAAAGGGUUGGGGUGAUUACUCACUAGGUUUGUUAAUAUGCUAUUAGGAUCUAGAUUAAAACCUUAAAAUGAGUUCGAUUUUCAGAACCAUGUUUAGGAAAUUCACAGAUUCUCAAGACAUUGUAGUAAACAAUGAAGAGAUCAAUUAUCCUAAGAUCCAAAAUGAGUUAGAUGAGUGGAAGUUACCCAAGGUGUUUAAUCAAGAAAUUUAUAAGAAAUGAACCUUUAAGUUCUUUAUAGACUACACCAUUAGGACCCUUGAACAGUCUGUAAGUUUAGAACAAGAUGACCAAGUAAUUCGUCUCUUGGAUGGUAAAUCUAUUGAGAGACAUAAGCGUGACUACAACUUCAUACACUUUGGUAUGAUUCAAGUUGUAACUAAGCCUUUGACAAGACUAGGUUUAAAUACCUCUAUUAUUAUGAGUUUAAGGGAUAAUAGACAUCUUGAUUAUUGAGAUUCUAUUAUUGGAACAUUCCAAGCAAGAUUGAAUGAUGGUCCUGUUUAUUUCCAGUGUUUCCCUAACUUCACAGUUAGAUUAAGAGAUUUUCGGUUGUCCUUCAUGUUAAGACCCAUGGAUUUAAGUUUAAGAAAGGAAACAAUCCUGUUACCAUCAUCACUAGAUUUGCCUAUAAGAGUAUGGCUACAAGCGUUGGAUCUGGAGCACCGUGCACCAGUCCCAAGGGUGAGACUACUCUCUUUCACUCGGAUAUGCUAAACAAGUCAAAUUUCAUAAUCCCCAAGAAGAUCAUGUGGAAUGAGGUUGAAUUCCCUGAAACAUGGCAUUUUGUUAAUGUUGUUCCAACCAUAGAGCAAGGAUCUAAAAUGAUUGAACAGAUUGUUGAAUAUCCUGAUGGAGGAGGAGAUUUGAUUUUCUCCAACUCUUUUGGUCAUUCUAGCAACCCUAGAAUUUCAUAUUAUGAACCCUUUAAAGCUUCAAGUUCAUCUAUCCCAGUAAGAACCAUUAGGAUAGAAGAAUGAUCCACUUCAGCAAAUCCUAAGAAUAUUAAGCUAACAGGUGUUAAAAGUCACACCAAUCUAGCCAGACCCUUUUACACUGAGGAAAAUGAGUCUACUCAGGAAUCACUUCAGAAUGAAUCUCCUGAUUUGUCUCCUAUGUAUUCCCAGAUGAUUAAUAUUGUAAGCCUAGAUGAUGAGGACUUUGAGAUCAACAAGGAUCUCUUAAGGAAAGACUUCUAUUCUAAAGUCAAUAAGGAAAGAAGAGUUUGGUUCUUUAGCAAGGUCCUUAAGGACAUUAAAACCCUCUACCAAGAAGAAUUCUACACAUACUUAAGACAAGAAAAGAAAAACAUUAAGUAUUGGAUUUGGUUUGAACUUUCCAAACAAGAGGAAUAUCCAAAUUACCUUGGUAAGUGUGUUAAUAACACAUCCACUAAAACUAAGAUAUGGAAAACUAGUGACGACACUGUCAUAGAAUCCAUCCAGCCUCCAAAAGCUAAGAUAGAAAUGAACAUUAAUGGAACCAUAGUUAAAGCUUCACCUUUUAAGACUAAGCCAGAGGAUAAAGGAACUGCUAGCGCUGUAGAUGUUAGAAGAAUCAUGGAAUAGAAUUCUUAAGACUCUAGGUGAUAAACUCAACAGGGUUGAGGAGGUCAUUGAAACCCAAGAUCACAUUCAGACUUCGUUUAUUAAGAAAGAUGAUAAACCUUUAUUUAAGCCUUUUGAAUUCUCUAAGAAAUUCCAGGAAAAUCCCCAUAUUGAUCAAGCUUUCAUUGAUAGGAUAAGUCAAAAGGUUAAGGAUAGCUUAGUUGUCCUUGAGACACCUCAACCUUCUCAUAGGAGAAUCAAUAUGGUUAAAGGAGAUAUUAGUUCUGAAGCAGAGGCUGAUGAAAUAAUCAAGAUCUUUAAGGAAUCUCCUAACCAAAUUGUUAUGAGGAUUAUCCACAACCAAGAAGCACCAAGAACUAGGAAUUACUACCCUAGACCAACCUUUCCUGACAUGCAGUAUGAGAAAAGAAACCAGUACACUCAAGCUUCCUACACUAGUGGCAGUAUCUAUGAAUGGAACAUAGAUGGCAUGACUGAGCAUAACAUACUCACUAAGCUUCAAGAAAUGACCAUGGUUAGCACAACGUAUAAGUUAAAUAAUAGAUUAUUAGACCAUGCUGUAGCUCAGACAAUUGUUGUUGGGUUUAUAGGUCAGCUUAAGGGUUGGUGGGAUAACUAUCUCACUUUUGAGGAUAGAAAUGGCAUCCUAAAAGCCUAUAGGAUUAAUAAGGAAAAUGAAGUGGUUAAGGACGAAGAAGGACAAGAUAUAGAGGAUGCAGUGGUUACUCUAAUCUAUUCAAUUUCAAAGCACUUCAUUGGAGAUCCUACAAAGAUCAAGGAUAAGAUUGCAGAUCUCUUAACCAAUCUUAAGUGUCCCAAGCUUCAUGACUUUAGGUGGUUUAUAGAAGUUUUCUUAACCAAAGUCAUGUUAAGAUCAGACCGCAAUAAGUCUUUUUGGAAAAAAAAGUUCAUCUUAAGACUACCUAGACUUUUCUCUGAGAGAAUUAGGAUUAAGAUAAGGGAAUAGUUUAAUAGACAAAUCCAUUAUGAUAAGCUUAUUUAUGGAGAAAUCAUAAGCAUUGUCACAGAAGAAGGAAUUAAAUUGUGUAAUGACUUUAAACUUAAGCAACAGAUGAAAAAUGAACCGAGGAUAUACAAGAAUGAAUUGGGCUCAUUUUGUAGCCAAUUUGGAUUUAACUAGAAAGAAACUAAGCGUCCCUUUAAGCAACGUAAGAAACAAGUAAGCAGAAAGCCUAGUAAAGAAAAGUUUUACCACAACAAGAGAGAUACUCAUGGAAACUAUAGGAUGAAUGAAACUAAGCGAUCAAGUUACAUCUAAAGAAGAAUGAAGAAAGAAACCCAAAAAAAGAUAGAAGCCUCUUCACAAUCUAAGCCAAUUGUUUGCUUUAAGUGUGGUAAAAUAGGCCACUAUAAGAAAAACUGUAGAGUUAGAAAUAAAAUUAAUAAUUUGAAUGUUUUAGAAGACUUAAAAGAUAUGCUUUAUGAAGUAAUUCUAAACACCUCAGAAUCUGAACCAAAGACUGAUUUAGAUAAUGAAGAUGAUAUUAAUCAACUAGAUAGUAGUGGUGAGAUCUCAAGCCAAACUUCUAGUGACCAAGAAGAAUGCAUUAAGGGUAAUUGUGAUUGCCAACCUAAGACUAUAAAUGUCAUAAGCCAGAAUCAAGAACUUGUCCUACAUGUUUUAAGGAAAGUUGAAAAUGAAAAAACUAAGCAAAAUCUUUAUGAAGUUUUUAAGAAAUAUGUCGGUAAGCAAGAGGUUAAGAAGACAGUAAAUCCUUAUAACUUAAAUGAAAUCUUAACAAGAUUUAACCAUCAGUCUACUAAAGACGUAACGAUUAAGGAUCUUCAAGAAGAAGUAAGACAGUAUAAGAAAGAAAUUAAGGAUUUAAGACAAUUCACAAGCUUAGGUUUAUCUGACCUCCAAGAACAAAUCAAUAGGAUUAUUGUAGAAAAUCUUGUAGAUAACCAGGAAAACCUUGAAGAGGUUCCAGAAUCCUCACAAGCUAAUGAUGAAAAGGCAGAUGCAUACUUAAAUACUAUUAGUAGGGUUAUUUUCCAGAUGUAGGAAGUCUCCCUUACUAUAGUAGUUAAAAAUAAAUUUUCCAUUGAUAUUGCUACUUUGAUUGAUUCAAGAGUAGCUUUGAAUUGCCUACAAGAAGGUCUAGUACCUACUUAGCUUUGUGUAAAAACUAGAGAAACUCUUUUUGGAGCCAAUGGUAAAAGACUUGCUAUUAAGUAGAAGUUUUCAGAUGCUCACAUUUGUAACCAAGGCAUUUGCAUUAAGGAAACCUUCAUUUUAGUUAAGGAUCUUAAGGAGAAAACUCUCCUAGGAAUCCCCUUUUUAAGUUCUAUUUAUCCUAUGUGGGUAGAUGACUAAGGUAUAAGAACAAAACUCUUAGAUAAGGAAAUUCUAUUUGAAUUUUCCAACCCACUUGAUGAGAGAAGUAUAAACACUUUAAGAGAUUAGGUGAUUCAAGUUAAGGAAAACCAUGUUAAUCUCUUAAAAUAGGAGAUUAAUCUAGUUAGAAUAGAAAAUCAAUUGAAAGUUAAGGAAACUCAAGUUGCGAUAGAAAAAUUUAAGGAUAAGAUUGUUGGAGAAGUUUGCUCUAACAUUCCUAAUGCAUUUUGGCAUAGGAAACAACACGAAGUAGAGUUACCUUAUGAACUAGACUUUUUAGUGAGAAGAAUAUUCCCACUAAAGAAAAACUUAUCCAGAUAAACAAGGAGUUGUUAAGCUAUUGUGAAAAGGAGAUCCAAGAUCUUCUUGACAUGAAGUCUAAAUCUUCUUAGAGUUGUUCAGCCUUCUAUGUUUAGAAACAAGUUGAAUUAGAAAGAGGAACACCUAGACUAGCCAUCAACUACAAACCUCUUAAUGAUGCAUUAAGAAGGACUAAGUAUCCCAUUCGAAAUAAGACAACCUUUGUUGUUCCAUUUGGACAUUACGAAUGGAAUGUAAUGCCUUUUGGUUUUAAGAAUGAAAUCUUUAACCAGUUGUCAGAUUUCAUCAUUAACUUUAUUGUUGUUGCUUUGAAAUACAUUUUUUAGUCCACAGUCAAGACCCUACCAUGUUUUGGUUUAGAAACCUUUGAGAUUGUUAAGACUGAUGCCUCAGACAUAGGUUAUGGUAUGAUUCUUAAGCAAACUAUUGGUAACCUUGAGUUGUUGGUUAGGUAUACUUCAGGAAUUUGGAAUACUACCCAACCCAUUCAUAACACCAUCAAAAAAGAGAUUUUAAGCAUUAUUUUAUGCAUUUCAAAAUUUCAAAAUGAUUUUUUGAACCAAGAGUUUUUAUUAAGAAUUGAUUACAAGUUUGCAAAAUCAGUUUUAAAAAAAGAUGUUAAGAAUAUAGCUUCUAAGCAUAUUUUUGCUUAUUGGAAAGAUAUUUUAAUCAAUUUUGAUUUUCAAAUUAAGUAUAUUAAAAGAGAAAAUAACUUCUCAAUUCCUGAUUUCUUAACUCAUGAAUUUUGCAGGAUUCAUAAGAUCAUGACCCCUAAAAAGAAUACCCAAGCUCCAAAACCUACAGAAACCCAGUCUUCUAAAACCAGUAAAGAACUUUCUCCCCAUAAAAUGUUUUGAAGCCAACAAGUUGAGUUAGAAGAAGAAGCAAGGCUUCAUUCUUCCAACUAUAUGCCUAAUAAGAUGUUGUCUUUGUAUUAUGAUCCUUUGGAUCCUUUUAAACUAGUCAAGACUACCUAGCAUCCAGCUAUCAUAGGGUCUCAGACCUUUAAGCAGGUUACUAAAGCUAAUCCAUCUCAAAAGGAAUUAGCAUCAAGCUCGUCUUUUCCAAAUAAGCAAAUUGUGGUGGCUGCCAACCCCACACUGUUUUCAGCAAAAUCAAGAUAUUGGUAAAGAGGUUUUAAUCAGCCGCUUUUGGUUAUUGAAAGAGAGUUUUUCUCUGAAAACCCCAGAGGAAUUGCAGCAAAAGUUUUUCAUGAAAAUUUACAUUAUCCCUUUGGAGAUAUUUUAAAAACAAGAGAUUUUUAUGUAGCAAUUCUUGUGGAAACUGACUCUAUUAAAAUCAAGCACAAUGUUGAUAAAUACAGCAACUUGGAUUUGGCAUUCUCUACUUGCCAUAUUUAUAAAAUUCUUACAGUCAAGCAGUGGGGUGGGAAUCCCAAUUUUUCAAGAGAAUUUUCUAAGCUUUCAAAACCAAGAUUCUUUAACUAUUGGGACUAUAAGAGAGCAUGGUUCAAUGUUUUUCUAAUCCAAAACAGGGACUUCCAUCAUUCAUGGAUGUUCUAUUUCCCAUCUAAGCAUCAGAUUCCUUCUUUCCUAUUUUGGUUCCACAAUUGGUGGACUUAUUUUUGUCCGACUGUUAAGAUUCUUCCAAAACCCAUCUUAGAUGGAUUUGAGCUAUUCAAUAGCUUUUUUGUUAUCCCCAGUAACUUUCAACGUUUCCCCAUUUGCUAUUCUUUUUUCAGUGAAUUUGGCCUUGCCUAGAUAGUCUAGUGGGACUAUAUCAUUAUUACAGACGAAUUAGCAGUCUUUCUUGCCCUGGGAAGGACCUUUAAGACUAAAUGGCGGGAUGCUGUGAAAAAUGAUGCCUCACUACAAGCUGUGAAACAAUAUUUUCUUAAGCAUCCUACACAAGCUUCUGGUUCUGAUGAUAUGUCACAGUUCCUUCUUAAGAAACAACAGCUCCAAGCCAUGCUAGCAGUAGCAAAAAAUCCUCAAGAAUUUCAAAAAAUCCUUGAUAAAAGUAGCUCAAGCUUUUCCCAAGAAGAUUCUUAUGUUGAAUCAGAUGAUUCUACAACAAAUUACCUUUAGGAAAAUGAAGACGACUAUGAGGGUAUCCUUUCUCCCAUAAGAAAAUCAAAAUAAGCUCCUGAAAAAAAAACGUUAAGCUCUUGUGAUCAAGCAUUCAUUACUUCUUAUGACCUUCCUCUGACAAAAUGAUGCUCUAUCGACAAGUUUUUGCACCAAAAGCAUUUUUUCUCGAUCAUGUGAACCUAUAGUUCGUAGGCAGCCUAUCAAGCCAGCUUUUCCCCGCUGAAAGCUCUGUUGAAAGCAAGAUUCGUCUGAUAGUCAAGAUUGCUACAGUAAAAAGUCAAUUUUACUGUUAACUAUUCACUCAUGGAUGGUUACUGAUUACUACCAAAAAGUGCUAUUUUGUAGACCUAAUUAUAAUGGUUUUAAGCACCUUUGAGUAGUAAUCAUAUUCAUUUAACCCAAUUAAUUAAUUAAGGUCCUUAGUAAUUGGUUUUAACCAUUUUGUGGCAAGUUUACAUGUUUUUAUCAGCUUAUGAAUCAAUUCAAGCAUGCCAAAUGAUGGAGGAGCUACUUGGACAAGUUAUGGAAAAGCUUUUGGAAGCUCAAAUUCAUGAAGAACAAGGUUUGGAGCUCCAUAGCCCUUUGCCAAAUUCGUUCAAAGUAUGCAAGGAAAGAGCACUGGAGAGAGGAAAACAGAGUGAAGAAAACAGAGGACAGCAGCUGCAGUCUUCUUACGCACUUUUAGAGUACUUCCCGAAGUCCAUUUUCUACAUUCUAUAUACUAUUUCAAAGCUCAGGAAGUCAAGAAUCCAAUGCUUCAAACGGUGUACAAUUCGGAGUUGAAAUGAAGGAGUUACAGCCAUUGCAAGCCGAUCACUCCAAGCUGAAGGAAGGAUUCAGCAAAGUGUUGCGAAAUCACCCUUUUGUUGCGGAAUGAUUUCGCAGCCUUUUUGUACAGUGCUUUGAAAUUCCUCCUGAAGUUACCCGAUAUAUGCCGCAAGCUGGAAGCUUGGAACCUCAAGGUGGAAGCCAACUUCGCAGCCCUACGAAGAUAGCAUGUUGUUGCGAAAUGAUUUCGCAGCCUUCUUGAGUGCCUGCGAAAUCUCGCAGACCUCGUUUUCACCUGCGAAAUGGUCCUUAGUGCUUCCCAAUAUUUGUGACCGACACUUUGGGAUAUUUUUUCUUCAGAUUUUUGUGUCUAAAUUUCCAUUUUCUCCUUGUAUUCAACCACUCAUGUAAUUCCUUAGCUAGGAAGUAUCCAAGGAAGGGUAAAUUACCUUCCUAUAUAAACUCCCUUGCAUCCACUGUAAUCAUAUAUGUAAUAUAUGUAAUCCAUCGAUCAAUAUAUAGAAUAUACAGAGCCUUGCUCUAUUUUUCCUUCUCUUUCAUUUUUCAUUUCUUUUUAUUUCUAGCCAACCAAACUCUGAGGAUUUUUCCUCAGAGGAUGAGAGGCUAAGCUUUUUGUCUCUUGGAGUGAGGAAAGCCGGGUAAGUUUCCACAUGCAUAAAUUGGAAGUUUUGUUGUUUUAGUUUUUAAUGAAGAGAAAGUGUGACCCGUUAAUGGUUUUUAUCUUUUUAGUUAACUUAAAACGCUUUUAAAUCACCUGGGCCAACACUUGGUAAGGCAAGUUAUCUCCAACCAUGGAGAUGCACUAGUUUACCCCUUGCGAGCCUUUGGGAGGUGACUUGAAGGUAGGAUUUUCUGGAAUUGCCAACACUUGGUAAGCUUUUGGACUCCAAGGAGACAUCCAUUAGUUAUCUCUUGCGAGCUUUUGAAGGGAAGUCCAAGGUUAAAGAUCAUCUUGAAUGGUAAGUGCUCGUGAGAGGUAUGAGCCAUUGCAAGGUGCAUCAGUGAGAGGGAUUUAGUGUUUGAACCCAUUAAUGGGAAGCAUCUGUACAACACCGGUUGGAGAAGGAACUAUAUGUUAAUUCUCUAAUGCGAGGAAAAGAAACAAGUGACUGGAACUCUCCUUUUUGUAUGAGGAACCUGAGCCUAGUGAUCUGAACUCCAAGAAACACUUUUCUUAGUAAGUAAAAUCAGUUACUAUUUUUGGUUAGUUUAAAACCAAACCUUUUUCAUUCAAACAUCUUUAUGUUUUCCUUUAAAGCUAACCUUGAAAUGAAAAGGCACCAAUUCAUCUUUGAAUUAAUAUUAUUUGCAAAGUGAAAACCCAUCCCAGUGAACGAUCCUAGAGCCACUAUGCUAUAGUAGCUUUGUCUUUGCUACCCUAGUAUAUGGUGUAAUAGGUUAUAAAUUUUAUUGAUUAAUCCCUCAAUCAAGGAGCACCAGCUGGACACGAAUCAGCUGAGACACCAAUUGGGCACGAAUCAAAUGGCGCUGUUGCCGGGGAUCGAACCUCGAAUCAAAUGGUGUUGUUGCCACUGCCGCUGCUAGGGACGAAUCAAAUGGCGCCGUUGCCGGGGAUGGUGCCACUUUGCAGUGAUAUGAUCUUUUGAGAGUACUUGUGAUCUUCAUCACAAGUUUGGUGACUUUUCUUUUCCUUUUACUAACUCUUUUUAUUUGUUUAUUUUUCUUUCAUAUUUUAGUAUACCUUUUAUUUAGUUUUUAGUUUACCUUAAUUUUUUUUUUCUUUCAAUUGUUUUUCUUUUGUUUUCUUUUGUGUUCUCUGUUUUUAAUUCACAAAUUGCUAGUUGUGCAUGCCAUAUUGAAUACCAUAGCAGAGGAAGCCAUGAACUUCAUGAGUUAUGUGGCUGAAUUUUCAAGAGAAUGGGAUGAACCAAAUGUUAGAGAUAUGGGAAGAAUGACGUCUCAACCUAAAGCUAAGGGUGAGAUGUAUAUUUUGAAUGAUGGUAUGAACAUGAAGGCAAAGAUUGCAGCUAUGGAAAGGAGAUUGGAAGAGCUAGAAAUGAACCAGAUGCAAGAAGUGCAAGCCAUCUCUUAAACACCAUUGCAAGCUAUGCCUUGUGCCAUUUGUCGAUCAUAUGAGCACUUGGUGGAUGAGUGUCCUACCAUUCCAGCCGAGAGGGAAAUGUUUGGUGAUUGCAACACCUACAAUUCCAAUUGGAGGGACCAUCCAAAUUUCUCUUGGAAACCACAGCCGCCUCAGUACAAGCAACAUGUUCAAGCACUUUCGCAAGCCUCAAUCCUUGAACAAGCUAUGGUGAAUCUUAACAAGUUCGUGGGAGACUUUGUUGGAGCUCAGGAAGCCGUCAAUGCUCAAAUCAAUCAAAGAAUUGACAGAGUAGAGAGUUCAUUGAUUAAAAGGAUGGAUGAAGUGCAAAAUGAUCUAUCUCAGAAGUUAGAUAUUCUCCAAGAUUCAAUCUCAAGGCUUGCCAACCUCAACACAGUGCAAGAGAAAGAAAACUCUCCUUCUCAACCUUAUCAAAAUUCCAUGAGUAUCCAUGAAAUGGAGGCUAAGGAGGGAGAACUUUCACAAAAGAGGGAAGUCAAAGAAGUGAUCACUCUGAGGAGUGGUAAAGAGGUUGAUCUGCCCACAUGCAAGCUAGAGCAUAAGGUAGAGAGUGAAACAUAGAAAGAAAAGAGGGAGGAAAUCAAAGGAAAGAAAAAGGGGAAAAGCAUAGAGAAAGAUGGCUAUGAUGUUAGUGUACAAAGAGAACCACAGAGGAUAGUCAUCAAGGAAGAAUUGAUGAAGAAACACAUGUCUCCACCUUUUCUCCAAGCUUUGUAUGGGAAAAUCAUACAAAUCACGUCUCAAGGGAGGGAUGGAAACUUCAUAUGGGAUCCGGGCAAGCUAAAUCAGGAUCAAAUUUUUUGAUGGACUUAGUCUUUCUAAAGACUAGCUAGUCCAUAUCUUUUUGUUUUGUUAAUUUCUUGUUUUAAUUUUGAUUUUAAUGUUUUAAUUUUGAUUUCAAUGCUUUAAUUCUAGUUUUUUUUUGAUGUAAUAUAGGUUUUUGGAUGAUCAAAAUCAAGAGGAAUUGUAAAGAAAUUGAAGGAAGUCUUUCGGAGCAAAAUCGGAGUCAAACGGAGCGAAAACAGGGGAAAAACAGGGGUCUGCGAAAUUUCGCAGCCUCUACGAAAUCGGCAUUUUGUUGCGAAACCAUUUUGCAACUCAAUUGACUCCUCUGCGAAAAGUUUCGCAGCUGCGAAACCAACUUUGGCACACGAGUGCCACUUCGCAGCACAUGAGCCAUCAUUUGGCAGCUGCGAAACGCAUUGCGAAGUGAAAAAGACUGAUUUCGCAACAAAAGUCCUAUUCCGCAGAGGAUUUCGCGGCUGCGAAAGCACUUUUGGCACACGAGUGCCAUUUCGCAGCACAGUGACCCUCAUUUCGCAGCUGCGAAAUGACUGCGAAAUCCCAAAAAGUGAAAAAUCCCAAUUUCACAGCCGCACCCCCAUUUCGGCAAUUGUUGGACACAUCUCGAUCACUUCCUGAAGUUAAAAUUAUGUAUGCAAUAUCUCGUUUCAAAUCUUGGGAAGUCAGGAGUCCAUAGCUUCAAACGGUGCUCGAUUUGGAUUUGAAACGGAAAAGUUAUGGCCAUUUGAAGAUGACUAUGCAAACCAUGAGCGGAAAUGUUGCAUCUCCAUUUUGCUACUGUUGGACACAUUUUUGAAGCACUUCCUGAAGCUUAAAUUAUGAAUAAGAUAUCUUGUUUCAAAUAUUGGGAAGUCAGGAGUCCAACGCUUCAAACGGUACACGAUUUGGAGGUGAAAUGAAGAAGUUAUGGUCUUUUGGAGACAAGCGCGCAAAGCUGAGCGAGAAUUUCGCAGCCGAGACGCCAUUUGGAAGGGUGUUUCGCAGCUGCGAAACCACUUUUUGGCACACGAGUGCCAUUUGCAGCACAAUUCCCCUCAUUUCGAAGCUACGAUACAGCUGCGAAAUCACCUUUGAGCUGCGAAACCACUUUUUGGCACAUGAGUGCCAUUUUGCAGCCCCGUACACUCACCUUUGAGCUGCGAAAUCACUUUUGAGCUUUGAAAUGGAUGCGAAAUGAUCUCCAAGCUUUGAAAUGGCUGCGAAAUCACCUCCAAGCUUAGAAAUGGCCUUCAAAUUGCGAAAUUGACUUGCAAAAUGGAGGAAGGUUUGCAAAAACACCUUGCAAAGCCAAGGGAAGUUGCUAAAAUACCAACAGAGCCUCACGACCAUGCAUCUGAAGAGGAGAGCCCCGCACACCCUGGGAUCACACACACCAAGCCUCUCACUCCAUUUCUAACCUCCUAAAACCAUCAAAUCCCAUAGCUACCAACUGAGAGCUCCAGUUGAGAAGACUAUGCCAUCUAAGGAGACUACCAGAAUAGAGGCCAACGUCCUGAUCCAACCCAUUCAAGAGGCCACCACAGACACAUCCGCUCCACAGGACCUUACCAUUACUUGAUCAUCUCUUUACUUUUUGUCUUUACAUAUUAUAUUAGUAUAGAUAAUUUCAUAUUUUGAUGUCUUAUAUUCUGGAAUUGGAUGUAUUACUGAUGAUACAUCAUAUAUAGACAUCAAUUCUUGUUUAAAACUUAGCAUUUUUCUAUUUCCUCUACUCACUAACUCUUAUGUUUUCUUUGAAACAUGUGGUUUCUCCUAUAUGACUCAGACUCCAUGUCACUCAGGAGGUACCACUUCCUCCUUAUUUUUUAAUCGCUUUUGUCACAUUGAGGACAAUGUUCAGCUUGGUUGGGGGGAGAGUUGAGGAAGUAAGUAUUGUUAAUAAUGCUAAGUUAUUUUGGUAAUUUAGUUGCUUUUUGCUUAAUUUUUAAAAAAAUUUUGCUUUAAACUCCAUGGAUAUUAAGGAUUAACUCUCAAAAUUAAAUGAGAGAAGUUGAGUUUCAACUUGAUUACAUGAGUCUUAGAGUUUGCAUUAUGCUCUUCUAAAAGUUGAUGAAUUGUUGAAACUCCCAUUGCAUGCAAACUUAUCUCUUCCACCUUAAGCUAUUCGCACACACAUACAUUAGAUUCCGGUUAUAAGAUGUGAAACUAUCUCACCCUCUAAACUUGAGAAAUCAUAAUUUGACACCUUUAACCUCUCUUUAAUAGUGUUGGGACACCUCAUAAAGACCAAUGAGUCUUUGUAGAAAAAGACAAAGAAAAAGAAAAUAGAAUAAACUUCUUUACUUGCCUUGAAACCUGAGCAUGGUCCGAAGGGGUGGCGAAAGCCUUUAAAGCCUGGUGCCCUAAGCCUUUGUUGGUUGGGAGUCACCGAUCCUCUGCUUGUUACAUGGGUGAAUUGGUUAAGUUUAGUAAGUGAAAAAAAAAUUGUGAAUAAGAGGUGCGUUCCUAGCCUAUCAAGAGAUGGUUAAUUUUGCUAAGCUUAAAGAAAGACUUAGGUUGGGGGGAGAUGAUAGUUAUCCAUACUAUACUCGGAAGCUAAUCACAUUAACACUUAGCUUUUAGUGGAAGAAUUUGAUUUGGAUCUUUUGAGAGUGGAAAUUCUUUUGAUGCUUAAACUUGCAUAAUAUCCAUUCUUUGUACUCUAUGAUCAAGUGAAUGCUUUGACAACUCUUAUUAUAGGUUGAGUUUCACAUCUUUAUUGAUCCAUGGAUGUCCAUCAUGCCACUCAUAUCAUUUUUUGGAGUGAUUUGCAUGAUCCCUUUUAUGUAUAUUAUUAUAGUUUACUUAGUUUUUAUCUCAUCCCUUGCUAAGGGACUAGCAAUGAGUCGGUUGGGGGGUGUGAUUACUACCAAAAAGUGCUAUUUUGUAGACCUAAUUAUAAUGGUUUUAACCACCUUUGAGUAGUAAUCAUAUUCAUUUAACCCAAUUAAUUCAUUAAGGUCCUUAGUAAUUGGUUUUAACCAUUUUGUGGCAAGUUUACAUGUUUUUAUCAGCUUAUGAAUCAAUUCAAGCAUGCCAAAUGAUGGAGGAGCUACUUGGACAAGUUAUGGCAAAGCUUUGGAAGCUCAAAUUCAUGAAGAACAAGGUUUGGAGCUCCAUAGCCCUUUUCCAAAUUCGUUCAAAGUAUGCAAGGAAAGAGCACUGGAGAGAGGAAAACAGAGUGAAGAAAACAAAGGACAGUAGCUGCAGUCUUCUUGCACACUUUUGGAGCACUUCCCGAAGUCCAUUUUCUACAUUCUAUAUACCAUUUCAAAGCUCAGGAAGUCAAGAAUCCAAUUCUUCAAAUGGUGCGCAAUUCGGAGUUGAAAUGAAGGAGUUACAGUCAUUGCAAGCCGAUCACUCCAAGCUGAAGGAAGGAUUCAACAAAGUGUUGCGAAAUCACCCUUUUGUUGCGGAAUGAUUUCGCAGCCUUUUUGUACAGUGUUUUGAAAUUCCUCCUGAAGUUACCUGAUAUAUGCCGCAAGCUGGAAGCUUGGAACCUCAAGGUGGAAGCCAACUUCGCAGCCCUACGAAGAUAGCAUGUUGUUGCGAAAUGAUUUCGCAGCCUUCUUGAGUGCCUGCGAAAUCUCGCAGACCUCGUUUUCACCUGCGAAAUGGUCCUUAGUGCUUCCCGAUAUUUGUGACCGACACUUUGGGAUAUUUUUCUUCAGAUUUUUGUGUCUAAAUUUCCAUUUUCUCCUUGUAUUCAACCACUCAUGUAAUUCCUUAGCUAGGAAGUAUCCAAGGAAGGGUAAAUUACCUUCCUAUAUAAACUCCCUUGCAUCCACUGUAAUCAUAUAUGUAAUAUAUGUAAUCCAUCGAUCAAUAUAUAGAAUAUACAAAGCCUUGCUCUGUUUUUCCUUCUCUUUCAUUUUUCAUUUCUUUUUAUUUCUAGCCAACCAAACUCUGAGGAUUUUUCCUCAGAGGAUGAGAGGCUAAGCUUUUUGUCUCUUGGAGUGAGGAAAGCCGGGUAAGUUUCCACAUGCAUAAAUUGGAAGUUUUGUUGUUUUAGUUUUUAAUGAAGAGAAAGUGUGACCCGUUAAUGGUUUUUAUCUUUUUAGUUAACUUAAAACGCCUUUAAAUCACCUGGGCCAACACUUGGUAAGGCAAGUUAUCUCCAACCAUGGAGAUGCACUAGUUUACCCCUUGCGAGCCUUUGGGAGGUGACUUGAAGGUAGGAUUUUCUGGAAUUGCCAACACUUGGUAAGCUUUUGGACUCCAAGGAGACAUCCAUUAGUUAUCUCUUGCGAGCUUUUGAAGGGAAGUCCAAGGUUAAAGAUCAUCUUGAAUGGUAAGUGCUCGUGAGAGGUAUGAGCCAUUGCAAGGUGCAUCAGUGAGAGGGAUUUAGUGUUUGAACCCAUUAAUGGGAAGCAUCUGUACAACACCGGUUGGAGAAGGAACUAUAUGUUAAUUCUCUAAUGCGAGGAAAAGAAACAAGUGACUGGAACUCUCCUUUUUGUAUGAGGAACCUGAGCCUAGUGAUCUGAACUCCAAGAAACACUUUUCUUAGUAAGUAAAAUCAGUUACUAUUUUUGGUUAGUUUAAAACCAAACCUUUUUCAUUCAAACAUCUUUAUGUUUUCCUUUAAAGCUAACCUUGAAAUGAAAAGACACCAAUUCAGCUUUGAAUUAAUAUCAUUUGCAAAGUGAAAACCCAUCCCAGUGAACGAUCCUAGAGCCACUAUGCUAUAGUAGCUUUGUCUUUGCUACCCUAGUAUAUGGUGUAAUAGGUUAUAAAUUUUGUUGAUUAAUCCCUCAAUCAAGGAGCACCAGCUAGACACGAAUCAGCUGAGACACCAAUUGGGCACGAAUCAAAUGGCGCCGUUGCCGGGGAUCGAACCUCGAAUCAAAUGGUGUCGUUGCCACUGCCGCUGCUAGGGACGAAUCAGUUACUAUCCACAUCAGAAGUUAAAAAGCACACAGUAACUUGUCUUCCACUUUAUACUGUUUAAGAUUUGAAUUUCAAGCUAUUUAAAGAGGCCUGAUCCUCAGUUGUAAGCAUGAUUCAUUUUUCAUUUCUUCUCUACCUUAAGCUCUUCCUUCCCUCUUCUUUCUCUCUCAUCAUAUAAGCAUUCAAGCCCAAAGCUUUCUUCAAAACAUUCCUAUCCCUACCAUUGUAAGAUAAUUCAUUCCAUGUUUCUCCUAUAUAUAUAUAUAUAUAAAACAAAAUAACGUUAAAAUAUCUAUUAUUACUUUUACAAUAAUUUUUUAGAACCUUUCUCAACACUUUUAAGAAUUUGAUUAAUUUAUGUCUUAUUAAAAUUUUGUAUCAAAAUAUUCGCUGAUAUUUCUUGACAUAUCCUAAUACAUCCGUAAAAUUAAGUUACCAAUAUAUCCGUAAAAACUGAUAUUUUCAUCUGUGUCACAAGACACACUUCAUUAUUUCUAUAAAUGUUGUACAACUCUCAAGAUGAAACAAUGUUAAAAUAAAUGCGACUUAAAUUAAACAAACUUAAUAUUAAUGACCUUGAUCAAAUAUCAACUAAAAGUACUAUUUCAAAUAAAACUCAAUAAGUUAAUCAAAUUCAAAAUAUAAUAAAAGAAAACUCAUAAAUAAAUAAUUUAGAAAAUCAAUUCAAAAUGACUUUUGUUUCAAUACUCACACCUCCCACAACAAUCAAUACAAUAGCUAAUAAUUAUAUAACUAGAAAAAAUUAUUAUUCAAAACCUUCUUUUCUAGAUGUAUAAUUAGAAGAAAGAAAUUAUAAAUUAGCUACUAGCCAUGAUGGUAGUAUUUUUUAUGAAUUUGAUAUAGAUAUUAUGAGUGAACAUUAGAUAAUCAAUUUACUUCAUGAAAUAAUAAUAGUUGUUAAUGCUUAUAAAAUCAAAACUAAUAAUUUUGAUUUUCAUGUUGUUCGUACAUUAGUCAUAGGAUUCACUGGUGUACUCAAAGAAUGGUGGGGUCAUUAUCUUAAUCAAAAUGAUAGAGAAUUCAUGUUAAAUGCAAGAAAAAUAGUAGUCAAAGAAGAAGGAACAUUUGUGCAAACUUAUGAAGAAGAUGUUAUCAAUAUUUUAAUAUUUGCAAUAACAAAAUAUUUCAUCAGAGAUUCAUUUUAUUUUUAAGAAAGAACUUCAGAAAUACUCAAUAAUCUUAUAUGUCAAACUCUUCAAGAUUUCAAAUGAUAUAAUGAUAUGUUUUUAGUUGAAGUCGAUGACAAAAUCUUAUUGUAGAAGUUAUUAUUGGAAAGAAAAAUUUAUUUUAGGAUUUUGAACUCUAUUGACAUAAAAAGUUAAACAAAGAAUUGGAAAUUUACACAAUGAAAGAAUUCCUUAUGAGUUAUUAACUUAUGAAGAAUUAAUUACAUUUAUCAAUAAUGAAGAACUAGCUUUAUGUAUGGAUUUCAAACUUAAGAGUCAAAUGAAAAAAGAAAGACAAGAUAAUAAAAAAAAUUAUGAAAAUUUUGUUCAUAUUAUGGAUACGAUACUUUGGUAGCCCCUUCAAAUAGAAAAAAUAAAAAUAAUAUAACAAGUCAUAAGGCAUCAAAUGAAACAAAAUUUCAAAAGAAAAUAAUAAUAAUAAUAAUAAUAAAAACUUUGUCAAAUCAAAUUUUAAAAGGAAAACACCAACAUGAAAUACUUUUUUUCUUGAUUAACUCUAAAAUCCUUUUAACUUGAUUGGAUGUGAGUUAUGAGUCAUUAGUGAAAUCAAGUAGAUUAGAAGCCAAAAUGCUUGAUAAUCAACCCACAAGAAGUUCAUUUGUAUUUUUCACAAACAAUAGUCAACCUACAAGAAAAAAGGUAACACACACACACACACAUAUAUAUAUAUAUAUAUAUAUAUAAACUCAUCUUAAUCAUAUAAAUAUGUUUUAAAAUUAUGAGAAAUCCUUGAGUUUGGAGCCCACAAUACAUAAAUGUGUUUUAAAAUGGUAAAAGACCCUUGACUUUGGAGUGUAUAAUAUAAUAAGUGUGUUUUAAAACUAUGAGAAAUCUUUGAGUUUGGAGCAUAAAAUAACCAUCUAAUUGGAAACGGAUCCGUACAGUUGCAUAUAAUACUCAAUAGUAUAAUUGAAUUUCUAAUUUCAUGGUAUGUAUACAUGAAUUCCUCUUCAUCAUAUAAAUAUAUUUUAAAAUUGAGUCCUUUGACUUAGGAGCAAACAAUUAAUAUCCAUUUAGUUGGGAAAGGGAUCGUUAUAGAUGCAUAUAAUACUCAAUGGCAGAAUAAUUCAAGACCCAAUUUCAGACCUUAGAAGAUCUACUCAACAAUAUCCUCAAGAAAUGGAUAAUCAGUGUAGCCGAUUAUAGGUUCGGGUGCGUAGAAUGUCUCCCUGCUAUACUUGUUGAGAGGAGCAUUGAGCGCAAAUCUUUUCGGAAGAUCUGGGUUGGCUAAGAACCAACGUCCAAAUGCAACAAGAUCUGCACGCUCCUCAGCCACAGCAUUGUUUCCGUCUUCUUUCACAUAACCCCCAGCGGCUAUGAAUGUGCCAUUGAAAGCCUUCCUCAAGGGCACAAGGCUGUGGGGACACUCACACAUUUCUCCAGCUAUUCUUAUCCUUGGCUCAACCAUGUGGCAAUAGAGAACACCAGAUUGGUUUAAAGAUUCAACCAUGUAAAGGCCUAGAGCCGUUGGGUUGGAGUCUCCUGCCUCGGCAUGAUGGCCAAAUGGAGAAAGCCUUAUUCCAACCUUAUCAGCUCCUAUCUCAUUAACAACCGCUUCUACUACUUCCAAUGGGAACCUGCAACGGUUCUCUAGUGAUCUACCAUACUUGUCUGUUCGAUCAUUGACCUGGUCAAGUAGAUAGCCAUGAGCCCCAUGGAUCUCAACUCCAUCAAAACCUAUGUAUUGUGUAAACAAUAUUAUCAUCAGUGCAUCGAAGAAAUUGACUAGAAAGCUAAGCCAUGAUUUGUAUCAGAGGAUGAAUUUACCAGCUUCCAUAGCAUUUCUUGCAGCAAGUCUAAAAUCAUUGACAACUUGAGGAAUUUCAUCUGUUGUUAGCCGCCUUGGAGCUGAGAACUCAGCAACAUCAAAGCCAUUGCUUUGGAUUUGUGGCGUCAAUGCCUUGUCUGUAGAAGAUAUUGGAGCUUGCCCAUUUGGCUGGAAUUCUGUAAUGAUCAGUAAUAUUAGGAUAGAUAGAUUUAGAGAACAUUAUCUGUGUAUCAAAUCAGUUGUGUCCUUCACAUAAUUCCAUCAAGAAAAUAGACCUCAAGAAUUCCUUGCACGUCUAAAUAGUAUCCCAACAAUUCAAGAACAUACCUGUGUUUGAAACUCUUCCCACAUGCCAAAGCUGACAAAUAAAGAUACUGCCUUUAGCAUGAACAGCAUCUACAAUGGGCUUCCAGGCUUCAACUUGCUCUUUUGUCCAUAUACCUGGGUAUGUGCAUAGCUACAUAGAUGGGAAAAACCAGAUAAUUAAUCUUAUAUCUAUCAACUUGAUCAUAUAUUUUUUUAUUUAAACUUAGAAAACGAACAGAAGUUGUGAAAGUAGUGUUUGUUGUAAUUACCCUUGAGCAGUGUCGGAAACUCCAGUUGCUUCAGUUAUGAGAAGCCCCCCUUUAGUGGCUCUCUGGGAGUAAUACAAGAUUGCAUGGGGCUGAGGAACAUUGUUCCAAGAUCUCUGUCUAGUUAGUGGAGCCAGAACCACCCUACAAAAUGCUAAGAGUGAAAGAAAAAUUAGCCAUGUUUAGAACUUGCAGACGAAGAAAUCUAACACAUUCAUCUAAAGAAUAUGUUACAAGAGCAGAAGAAGAAAAAGAGAGAGGCUGCUUAUAUCUGUAUAUUUGGCGGCGGCUGCUGCUACAGUUAUAUGAGUGGGACACCCCUGGUGAUCAAAGUUGAAUAUAUUUUCUGCUGUCCAAAUCCUUUGUUAUGUCAACUCUGAUUUCAGCACGAACUAUUAAAUAAUCAUUAAUCCCUUAAUAAUCAUUAAAAAUAAAGGAUUAAUGAGCUGUUAAAUAACAUUUAAAAUUUUACAAAAAUCAUUAAUUUCUUAUCACAUUUCUUUAAAUUAUGGUUUUUUUUUUUUUAUCAUACCUAAAUGAAUAUGUCAAAAUUAUUUUUGAUACAUAUUUUCUAAUUAGUUAAGUUUCAUAAACCAUUUUAUCUUCUAAAAAUUAAAAUCAAAAUUAGAACGAUAAAUUUAAAAUAUUAUAUUAAUAUAGUAAAAAAAUUUAUUAAAUAGGAAAUAAUUUAAUAUAUAAUAUAAAUAAAACCGAUCCAGAAUCAAUUUUUUUUAAUCAUAAACCCUUUCUAAUAAAAUAAUUUAAAUAAAUAAAAAAAUAAAAAAACAUAUUUAAUAACUAAAAAACAUGAAAAAUGGUAUUUUUAGAUUGCAUAUUUUAAUUGUUUUUUAUUGUUUCACUUAUUUUUUUUGUCGGAACGUCUUUUAUUGAAGUAAUAAAUAAUAAAAGAAAAUUAACCCACAUCGGGUAAAACUAAUUUUUAUACCAAAGAAAAAAAUGAUAAGAAAAAAGGAAAAAUUAAUCCACAAUGGCUAAAAAUAAUGAAGAAAGUAUAGAAACAAAAUAAGAGAAGUUUGAAAGACAUGAGGUCCCAUUAUGAGGUUGAAUAAUAAUAUAUGUAUUGUGUAAGGGUCCAUCGGGUGAGGUCACUAAUGAUGAAAAUGCAAUAAUGUGAUGUGUAUAUAUGGAUUGGCCACCUUCAUUGACCAUGGUGUACCCAUGUCCAACCCGGAAGUCUACAUUGGCUGCACCCACACCUUCUCCCUUACAUCACUGCAUCACCCGACCUUCUUUUUUUAAUCUUAUUUCUUUUAAGUUCUUUUAUGAUAUUAGUAUAGAAAAGUAAUGACCAAUACAAGAAUAGACAUACAAUUUACUUAACACUCGUUGCUUUUAAAAUGAAAAAUAGUAAAACUCAUAGUUUGUAAUGACUCAAUUCCUUUCAUACAAUUAGUGUCCGCUCUAAACUUAAUACUUUAAAAUAUAUCUACAAUAAAGAUUUUAUAUUUUUAUAGUAAAUGAUUGUGAUAUCCUAUAAUGAAUGAGAGAAAAAUUUUCUGAUGUCAUAUAUCUAACUCAUCUUAAUAUAUGUAUUCCUUUUAAUAUUGUAGGUAUGUUUUAAAGUCAUAAGAGUUCAUUAGGUUCAAAGUGGAUAAUAUCUACAUAGUUGGGAGUGUUAGUACCUUAUACAUUAUAAUUUGUGUAUUGAUAAUUUUGUUCUUUUUAUUCUAACAUAGGAUCUUUCUAGAUGAUGACUUACUCUAUAUUAAAGACUCAAGGCUACUGAUUGAUUAAUUGAAACGUCAUAGGUAAGUUUGGAUAGGUUUAAAUAAAGGUAAAUUAGAAUUGAAAUGAUAAGGGUUGGAUCAGAUAUUUCAAAUUAUGCAAAAACGAUUUUAAAUUAUGUUUCAAUUUAGGCUUUAUUCAUUUAUUUUUCUUGUUUUGAAUUUGGUGAAUAUGAAUUUCAUAAUCCAAUAGCAAGUCUUUUAGUUAGUAUGAUAUUUUAAGUUUUAUUGUAUUUUUGGUAGGCAAUGAUGUGUUUUUUGUCAAUCUAAAUGUUGAUGAAUGUUUGCUCAUUUGUAAUUGAAGAAUAAAAACCUAAAAAGGAUAAAUUGUUUGAAACUAGGCUUGAAUAGAAGCAUGAUUUUUCUUAAUGCGAUAAUUUCUAAAAUUUGAGAAUGUGUUUUUUUGAGGCCUUCUAGAUUUUUUAUUUUAUUUUAUUUUUUUAUAGACUUCUUUGAAAAUUUGUAACUUCCCAUUCCUUCUCAUGCAGAUAUGAUCCACUAUGGGUCAAUAGGGUAUACAUAUAUACCUCACAUUUGAUAUGAGACAUCGCAAUCCCACCUCCUUGAUCUCACAUGGAAACAUGACAUCCUCAUUAUGCCCCAUAGAUUAUGGGGCCAAAAGGACAAUUACUCCUUAUGGGGUUAAACAAGUAAAGACUUACAUCAAGGUCGAAGAUCCUUGCUCAUGCUAUUUGUAAUGGCUCACUUUUAGCCAUGUAGUUGUUUUGGGUAAAAUGGACCUUCAUAACUUUAAAACAUGUUUACAUGAUUAAGAAAAAUAUGUUGUGUAUAUUGUAUUGUAGAAUAUCAUUACUACUCUUAAACAAACAUAACAUCUUCGUUAUGUCUCACAUGAUUGUAGGGCAUUUAGAUGGACAAAUACCUCUUGCGGGGCUAAACAAAUUCGCACACUGGGUCAAGGAUCAACUUUGAUAUCAUUUAUAAUGUCUCGUUCCCUUCAAUAUGGAUGUUAUCUGUCUUGAGCCAAUAAACACUUACACCUUAAAAAUAGGCCUAUAUGAUUAAGAGACGUUUAUAUAUAUAUAUGAAAUAUGAGACAUUACAAUUAACCCUAUCUUUCAUACAGGCAUGAUGUCCUCAAAAGAUUAUGGGGUCCAAUAGAUGAAGGCUUACAUCAAAAUUAAAGAUCGACUUUGAUACCAUUUGUAAUAACUUACUCUCUCCUAUAUGGAUAUUAGUCACUUUAGGUCCAAUGAACAAUUAUAACUUUAAAAUGCAUUUUAAAAUAGUAAGAAUCCAUUGUGGUUAAAGCAAACAAUAUCUACAUGAUUAAAAUAGAUUACUUUACUUCUCUUUUCAAAUGUUAAUAUAUCAAACAACACAACUUUUUUUUUUCCCUGCAGCAAUCUAGAAUACUCAUUUUAUCACUUCAUUCUCUAAGAGGAGUAUAUAUAUCCUACAUGGGAACACUCACCCAUCUCUAUUUAAGGGUUAAAAGGCAAAAACAAUUGGUACAUAAUUAAUAUUCCACCAAAGAUAGUAACUUCUUUGUAUUAUGAUGAGCCCUUGUCUUGUUAGGCAAUUGAUGAGUACUUUGUGGAGCCAAUAAAGAGCAAAAGGCCAAUUUGUGCUCUUCUUGAUGCAUACAUUUUCUUACAAACAAUUAAACUUUCUUUAUUUUUGAUCCAGUAAUGUUUCUUGAUUCUCUAUAUAUUAUGUUAUUCACAUGGAUGUUUUCACACCCAUAUGAGGACAACCUUACAAUUUCUUGUUUACUUAUGUUUUGUUUGAAAUGUUCAUUACCUGUUAUGAUUAUAUAUGAGGUAAAUCCACAUUUUCUCAUGUUAUACUUAGAGUGUGUUCAUUGUGUUCAUUUUCCCAUGUUAUACUUAAAAGAUUACAUUUGACAUGUUUAAUGUUUUCUUAAUUGAAAAAUGUUUUUAGGAUAAUCAUUUAUCAAGUGUUUUUAGGAGAAUGGUUUAUGAAGUGUUUCUCCAAAAAAAACACUAAUAUAUUUUUUAGAUUUUUAAAUAUAUUUCCUAAAUUUUAUUAAACACCUAUUUUUAUUUUUUUUCAAAAACACCUUUUAAGUUAAAAACACUUCUUAAAAUCAUUUUCAAACAACUCUUAUAUUAUUAAUAUAAAUAUGAUUUUUAGAUAGAAAAAAGUGAGUUUUGACUCAUUAAUUUGAAAAAAUAAAAAAAAAUAAAUCUCAACUUUUAUAAAUUAGUUUUAUAUUCAUUCAUUUAAAAAUAUUUUAAAAUAUAUGCAUUUUUUUAUAAGUCAAAUAAUUAUAAAAAAAAUUGAUUUAUCAUUUUAAUUUAAUAAAAGUAUCAUAUAAAUAAAUAUAAUAUAAAUUUUUUAUUAUAUAAUAUGAGAUACAAAUCAUUUUGAAAAAAAUUCUCCAUGAUAAUCUUCCUAAUUCCCUAUACCUAUCUUCUCAUCUUUCUUUAAUAAAAUUGGAUAAAAAUUUUGUUAGUUGGCAUCAAUAAUAAAAUAAGAAAAUUAAAAAAUUAAAAAUAUAAUUAAAACUAAAAUACUUAAAAAUUAAAUACAAUUAAAAUUUUUAAAAAUUAAAAGUUAAAUACAACCAAAAAAAAAAACUUAAAAAAAUAAAAUAUCACCUCUCAAGUUUCCAACUCUUUCUCGAAUCUAUAUUUUAUACUAAUAUGAUUUAACAAAGUAAAAAUUAAUAUUUUAUUUUUAUAUUUUUGGUUUUAAUUGUAUUUUUAAUUUUUAAAAUUUCUUAUUUAUUAAUUUCAAAUCAAUUUUUACAAAAAAAAAAUAAAAUAAAAUUCAAUUGGUAUUAUUGACCUGACAAGUAAAAAGUCAUUUUAAAAAAUAACUGUCUGACUUGUGAAAAUAUAUAUAUAUAUAUAUAUAUAUAUAUUAAAUAGAUAAAGAUAAAAUUGAUUUAUAACAAUUGAGGUUACUUUUUCCAUAUUUUUUAAAAUUAAUGAGUAAAAAUGGCUAUUCAAUUGUGUGUUUUUGGGACUUGUUACAAAAAAUAUCAUGCUUUACAUAUUUUAUAAACAACUAUUUUCUAAUUGUAUAUGGUAAGGUGCAUUGCAUGUAGAGACUUCUAGGCCUUGUUUGGUAACUGUUUUUGAAAACAGUUAUGAAAAAAUAGUUUUUAAGAACAGUUUUUGAAAACUGUUUUAUGAUGUUUUGUAGAACAAAAGUUUAUUUGAUAAUCUAAAAUUAUUUUUAAUCUGUUUUUAAUAUUUUUAAAUAUGUUUUAAAAAUAAUUUUUAUAUCCAUAGCUUUAUUUUUUAUCAUUAUAUAUGUUUAUAUAAUUAUACUUUAAAACAACUCUAAAAAAACAACUAAAAUAAGUUUUCUAAAAACACCAUAAUUUCUGUUUUUUGAUAAUAAAAAUCAGAAAGAAAAUAAAAAAUAGUUUUUGAUUAUCAAAUGUAUUUUUCAGUUUUUUUUGUUUUAAAAACAGAAAACUAUUCUUAAAAACAGAUAUCAAACAAAACCCUAGUGUUCAUCAUUCUAUGAUAACUAUUUUCUAUUUGUACAUGGUAAAUAGGUCAUGUGCAUUCAAUGUAGAUACUUAUAGUCUCCAUUAAAGGCUGAUUACUUAGAAAAAAAAAUGAAAAACAUAUCUUUACUAUGAUUUUGAUAAAUUUAUGAAUAUAUAUGUAUUUAAAAUAUGGAAAAUUGUUGGUUUUUCAUAAAUGGAUCCUACUAAAAUUUAACCCAAUUUAAUUUUGGCAUCCCAUGUAUCACAUCACAACAUUAUUUCAGUUGGACUCAAAAAGGCUUUAUUUAAACAAAUAUGAAAAAGUAAAAAACUAAAAAAACAAAAAUUGUUCAUCUAUAAAAAUAAAAAUAAAAAAUCAUAAGGAAAAUUCCUUGAUGAGAGUACUUGACUUGGUGUUUAGGCUUUUAAAUACAUUAUAUUUAUAAAAUAUCUUAAAAAUUUACUUAAAAAAUAUUUAUAUUAAAAAAUAAUACUAACUUCAAAUUACUAUAAUAGACAAUUUCUUCAAAGUAAAUAGUGUUCUAAAUAGAUUGAAAUCACUCAAAUUAAUCUAUAUACACCCAACUUUAUGAUAAAACUAUCUUAAAUUAAUUUUAAUCCAUUUAAAAAAAAAAUUAAAACUUGCCACUAAUAUUAUUAAUUUUAUUGAAAUGUUUUUAUUACAUUUUAAAUAAAUAAUUAAAUGAUUUAAAAUAUUUAAAUAAGUUCCAUAUCAAAUGUUUUACUUGAAAAUUCUUUUUGAAAAAUAUGUCUCAAAAUUUUUUCUUUUGAGUUUAUUUGCAUUAUUAAAAUUAUUAAAAAAUUCUUAUAAUUUAUAUUACCAUUAUUUAAGACUAAUUUUUAUAUUGCAUGCCGAAUUUUGCUUCAUAAACAUCAGAUUUUAAAAUGGAGCCUAUUACAAAUUAACGAGAAUAUAUAUGGAAAUAUUCGUCAUUUUCUAUAAAUUUGAUUUUUUUUUUUAGUAUUAUUUUAUUAAAUGUUAGAAUGAAAUGAAGACGACUUUUCCUUUUCUUAUUUUCUCGUAUGUUCUUUUGUCAUCCACCGACAUGAUGACCUCAUUGCUGAUGAAAAAAGUUCACGAAUGAUUCAUUUUGUGUACGUCAAUUUGAGUUUGACUGACAUGUGGGAUGAUCUCAUCAGCCGCAGAUGUGAACAGAACACGCCCUUGGAUCUUCUCUCUAUAAAUGGGCUUCAACCCAUUCGGAUGUUUUCAUUGUUUCAUAGAUUCCUUCAACGAUUAUUUUCCAGGAAAAGAAAAGAAAGAGAGAAACCAAACACUGAUGGACGGGAAAGUACAAGGAAUAAAUGGCGUCUCUGCUGAAACCCCCAUCCCUCUUAUCACUCCAUACAAAUUGGGCAAGUUCCAGCUCUCUCACAGGUGCAGUCUCCACUUGCUCGCCAGAUUUUCUCCCAUUUUCUUUCAUAUUUUCUGUUUCCACUUGUUGGGUGUUGCUGGAUUUUGGGUAUUUUGAGGGAAAGAUGGAAUGUGUGGGGAAAUUUAUGUCUUUGGGUCAUGGGUGAUGGAAAAUUUUUAAGAUUUAGAGUUUUCCUGCUUAUUUGACAACAGCUUUUUAUUUUUUAGAGUAAAAGAAUUCGGAAACACGUUUAAUAAUAAAAAGUUGUUUUAUAUUUUAUGNNNNNNNNNNNNNNNNNNNNNNNNNNNNNNNNNNNNNNNNNNNNNNNNNNNNNNNNNNNNNNNNNNNNNNNNNNNNNNNNNNNNNNNNNNNNNNNNNNNNNNNNNNNNNNNNNNNNNNNNNNNNNNNNNNNNNNNNNNNNNNNNNNNNNNNNNNNNNNNNNNNNNNNNNNNNNNNNNNNNNNNNNNNNNNNNNNNNNNNNNNNNNNNNNNNNNNNNNNNNNNNNNNNNNNNNNNNNNNNNNNNNNNNNNNNNNNNNNNNNNNNNNNNNNNNNNNNNNNNNNNNNNNNNNNNNNNNNNNNNNNNNNNNNNNNNNNNNNNNNNNNNNNNNNNNNNNNNNNNNNNNNNNNNNNNNNNNNNNNNNNNNNNNNNNNNNNNNNNNNNNNNNNNNNNNNNNNNNNNNNNNNNNNNNNNNNNNNNNNNNNNNNNNNNNNNNNNNNNNNNNNNNNNNNNNNNNNNNNNNNNNNNNNNNNNNNNNNNNNNNNNNNNNNNNNNNNNNNNNNNNNNNNNNNNNNNNNNNNNNNNNNNNNNNNNNNNNNNNNNNNNNNNNNNNNNNNNNNNNNNNNNNNNNNNNNNNNNNNNNNNNNNNNNNNNNNNNNNNNNNNNNNNNNNNNNNNNNNNNNNNNNNNNNNNNNNNNNNNNNNNNNNNNNNNNNNNNNNNNNNNNNNNNNNNNNNNNNNNNNNNNNNNNNNNNNNNNNNNNNNNNNNNNNNNNNNNNNNNNNNNNNNNNNNNNNNNNNNNNNNNNNNNNNNNNNNNNNNNNNNNNNNNNNNNNNNNNNNNNNNNNNNNNNNNNNNNNNNNNNNNNNNNNNNNNNNNNNNNNNNNNNNNNNNNNNNNNNNNNNNNNNNNNNNNNNNNNNNNNNNNNNNNNNNNNNNNNNNNNNNNNNNNNNNNNNNNNNNNNNNNNNNNNNNNNNNNNNNNNNNNNNNNNNNNNNNNNNNNNNNNNNNNNNNNNNNNNNNNNNNNNNNNNNNNNNNNNNNNNNNNNNNNNNNNNNNNNNNNNNNNNNNNNNNNNNNNNNNNNNNNNNNNNNNNNNNNNNNNNNNNNNNNNNNNNNNNNNNNNNNNNNNNNNNNNNNNNNNNNNNNNNNNNNNNNNNNNNNNNNNNNNNNNNNNNNNNNNNNNNNNNNNNNNNNNNNNNNNNNNNNNNNNNNNNNNNNNNNNNNNNNNNNNNNNNNNNNNNNNNNNNNNNNNNNNNNNNNNNNNNNNNNNNNNNNNNNNNNNNNNNNNNNNNNNNNNNNNNNNNNNNNNNNNNNNNNNNNNNNNNNNNNNNNNNNNNNNNNNNNNNNNNNNNNNNNNNNNNNNNNNNNNNNNNNNNNNNNNNNNNNNNNNNNNNNNNNNNNNNNNNNNNNNNNNNNNNNNNNNNNNNNNNNNNNNNNNNNNNNNNNNNNNNNNNNNNNNNNNNNNNNNNNNNNNNNNNNNNNNNNNNNNNNNNNNNNNNNNNNNNNNNNNNNNNNNNNNNNNNNNNNNNNNNNNNNNNNNNNNNNNNNNNNNNNNNNNNNNNNNNNNNNNNNNNNNNNNNNNNNNNNNNNNNNNNNNNNNNNNNNNNNNNNNNNNNNNNNNNNNNNNNNNNNNNNNNNNNNNNNNNNNNNNNNNNNNNNNNNNNNNNNNNNNNNNNNNNNNNNNNNNNNNNNNNNNNNNNNNNNNNNNNNNNNNNNNNNNNNNNNNNNNNNNNNNNNNNNNNNNNNNNNNNNNNNNNNNNNNNNNNNNNNNNNNNNNNNNNNNNNNNNNNNNNNNNNNNNNNNNNNNNNNNNNNNNNNNNNNNNNNNNNNNNNNNNNNNNNNNNNNNNNNNNNNNNNNNNNNNNNNNNNNNNNNNNNNNNNNNNNNNNNNNNNNNNNNNNNNNNNNNNNNNNNNNNNNNNNNNNNNNNNNNNNNNNNNNNNNNNNNNNNNNNNNNNNNNNNNNNNNNNNNNNNNNNNNNNNNNNNNNNNNNNNNNNNNNNNNNNNNNNNNNNNNNNNNNNNNNNNNNNNNNNNNNNNNNNNNNNNNNNNNNNNNNNNNNNNNNNNNNNNNNNNNNNNNNNNNNNNNNNNNNNNNNNNNNNNNNNNNNNNNNNNNNNNNNNNNNNNNNNNNNNNNNNNNNNNNNNNNNNNNNNNNNNNNNNNNNNNNNNNNNNNNNNNNNNNNNNNNNNNNNNNNNNNNNNNNNNNNNNNNNNNNNNNNNNNNNNNNNNNNNNNNNNNNNNNNNNNNNNNNNNNNNNNNNNNNNNNNNNNNNNNNNNNNNNNNNNNNNNNNNNNNNNNNNNNNNNNNNNNNNNNNNNNNNNNNNNNNNNNNNNNNNNNNNNNNNNNNNNNNNNNNNNNNNNNNNNNNNNNNNNNNNNNNNNNNNNNNNNNNNNNNNNNNNNNNNNNNNNNNNNNNNNNNNNNNNNNNNNNNNNNNNNNNNNNNNNNNNNNNNNNNNNNNNNNNNNNNNNNNNNNNNNNNNNNNNNNNNNNNNNNNNNNNNNNNNNNNNNNNNNNNNNNNNNNNNNNNNNNNNNNNNNNNNNNNNNNNNNNNNNNNNNNNNNNNNNNNNNNNNNNNNNNNNNNNNNNNNNNNNNNNNNNNNNNNNNNNNNNNNNNNNNNNNNNNNNNNNNNNNNNNNNNNNNNNNNNNNNNNNNNNNNNNNNNNNNNNNNNNNNNNNNNNNNNNNNNNNNNNNNNNNNNNNNNNNNNNNNNNNNNNNNNNNNNNNNNNNNNNNNNNNNNNNNNNNNNNNNNNNNNNNNNNNNNNNNNNNNNNNNNNNNNNNNNNNNNNNNNNNNNNNNNNNNNNNNNNNNNNNNNNNNNNNNNNNNNNNNNNNNNNNNNNNNNNNNNNNNNNNNNNNNNNNNNNNNNNNNNNNNNNNNNNNNNNNNNNNNNNNNNNNNNNNNNNNNNNNNNNNNNNNNNNNNNNNNNNNNNNNNNNNNNNNNNNNNNNNNNNNNNNNNNNNNNNNNNNNNNNNNNNNNNNNNNNNNNNNNNNNNNNNNNNNNNNNNNNNNNNNNNNNNNNNNNNNNNNNNNNNNNNNNNNNNNNNNNNNNNNNNNNNNNNNNNNNNNNNNNNNNNNNNNNNNNNNNNNNNNNNNNNNNNNNNNNNNNNNNNNNNNNNNNNNNNNNNNNNNNNNNNNNNNNNNNNNNNNNNNNNNNNNNNNNNNNNNNNNNNNNNNNNNNNNNNNNNNNNNNNNNNNNNNNNNNNNNNNNNNNNNNNNNNNNNNNNNNNNNNNNNNNNNNNNNNNNNNNNNNNNNNNNNNNNNNNNNNNNNNNNNNNNNNNNNNNNNNNNNNNNNNNNNNNNNNNNNNNNNNNNNNNNNNNNNNNNNNNNNNNNNNNNNNNNNNNNNNNNNNNNNNNNNNNNNNNNNNNNNNNNNNNNNNNNNNNNNNNNNNNNNNNNNNNNNNNNNNNNNNNNNNNNNNNNNNNNNNNNNNNNNNNNNNNNNNNNNNNNNNNNNNNNNNNNNNNNNNNNNNNNNNNNNNNNNNNNNNNNNNNNNNNNNNNNNNNNNNNNNNNNNNNNNNNNNNNNNNNNNNNNNNNNNNNNNNNNNNNNNNNNNNNNNNNNNNNNNNNNNNNNNNNNNNNNNNNNNAAACGCGAGUUUUAUCAAAUGUACUUUAGGCAAAACGUUCAAAAUUUAGCAUAUUAAUUUACCUAAAGACCUUGCCUAAGUAUUAGAAAAGAAAAGAACUGAAAAAGAUAGGUUUUCGGGGCCAACCGGCUAGGGAACCGGUUGACCGGUUGCCCUUGUCCAGUCUAGUCGAGGUCCGGUCGAGGACUGUUAAAAACACUCUCUCUCAUUCAGUAGCCUUCCCUUCCCGGUUGAGGUAUUCUCUUUCCCGGUCGACCUCUAGUCAAGGUCCAAUCGAGACAACGGUAACCUGCCAAAGCAUUAAAUGCUCCAACGACUAGUGAACUGGUUGACCCCCAGCUCGAUCAGUUGAGGCUGCUUUUUGUUUUUCUUGGCUCCCGAUGUUAGAAACCUAUAAAUCGAGAGCUCCACUUCAUUUAUGAUAUAGAGAACACUUGCAUUCAAUUGUCUACCAAGUUGUUCUUGCCUUAAAAACUCUCAUUUCUUUCUUGGUGCAUUAAAUCUUCACUUGCAUAUCUUUCAGUGCACCCUUGUGAGUCAUCUUAGCUUUGAUUUAUAUUUGAGCCAUUAUUGAGAUAGGUUGAGAGAAGAUCAUUCUUGUAAAUUGAGUGUUAGAGCCUUCAAGUAAGUUGAAUCUUGAAUAGAUUGUGUAAGAACCCAUUGGAGUCGGAAUCCAAGUGUAAAGAAGAUUAGAAGCUUGGUUGAAGCUUCAAGUUAGUGGAACCCUCACUCGGUUAGGAGCUUGAGGAGAGUGGAAGUAGGCAAGGAAGUGUCGAACCACUAUAAAAUCUGAGUUUGAAUUCUCUAACUCUAUCUCAUUAUAUUUGCUUAUAUUGUGCUUAAAUUUGUUGUGUUGAAAAAGUUUUUGAAAAACCCAAUUCACCCUCCUCUUGGGCGUUUUUCUUAUUAGCUUUUAUUUUCUUAAUGGGUAUCAGAGCAAGGCCUCUUGUUUAAGACUUAAUCGUCUAAGAGGAAAUGAUUGAAUAUCAAGCUCAUCUCACACUGAAAAUUUUACAAAACAUAGAGCUCCAUUUUUUACGAUAACCGACUAUCCCUAUUGGAAAACUAGAAUGACUUGGUAUUUACAAUCAACCGAUUUAGACGUAUGGGAUGUCAUUGAAGAUGACCCAACUUUUCCUGCAAAACUAGUUGAUGGAGUCAUGGUUCCAAAACCCAAGCAAGAAUGGAUUGAGCUUGAUAGAAGAAAUUUUCAAUUAAAUGCUAAGGUCAUUUUUACUUUACAAUGUGCUAUGGAUAGAAAUGAAUAUAAUAGAAUAUGUCAAUGCAAAUCGGCUAAAGAAAUUUGGAGAUUACUUGAAAUAACUCAUGAAUGAACAAAUCAAGUGAAAGAGUCAAAAAUAAAUUUACUUGUUCAUAAUUAUGAAUUGUUUUUUAUGAAAGAAAAUAAGACUAUUAUUGAGAUGAUCACUAGGUUCGCUGACAUUGUCAAUGGUCUUGAAGCAUUGGGAAAUACCUACAAGGAAUCCAAAAAGGUGAUGAAGAUAUUGAGGUCACUUCCAUCAAAGUGGCAUACAAAGGUCAUCGCAAUUCAAGAAGCAAAAACCUUGACCAAGCUACUUAUGGAGGAGCUCUUAGGGUCAUUAAUGACAUAUAAGAUCAAUUUGACAAAGAACUACAAAAAUAUGAAGACAAAAAAAAGAAGAGCAUAGCUCUCAAAGCUACAACUAAGGAAGAAGAAGAAGUUGAAGAAGAAAAACAAAGUGAAGAGGAUGAUGAUCUAGUCCUCAUCACAAAAAAGCUCAACAAAUACAUGAGGGGUGAAAGGUUUAGAGGAAGAGGGUUCACCUCUAGAAGAGACCUUUCUAAAAAGGAAUCUUCAUCUCAUGGUGACAAAGAGAAAUGGGAAGAGAAAAGAGAUUUGGUGCGCUUCAAAUGCAAAAAACCGGGACACAUUAAAUAUGAUUGUCCUCUCUAAACAAGUGAAGCCAAGAGAAGAAUCAAGAAGGCAAUGAUGGCCACUUGGAGUGAAAGUGAAGAAUCCUCCGAAGAAGAAAAUGAGAAAGAAGUGGUAAACAUGUGCUUCAUGGCAAUAGAUGAACUUGAUGAAGUAAAAUCUAACUUUAGUGAUGAAGAUAUGCAUGAUGUUUUUGAAGAAUUGUAUGAGGAUUUUGAAAAACUUAGUUUGAAAAAUAUUUCUCUUAAAAAGAAAAUUUAACAACUUUAAAAAGAACUUGAAGAAGUAAAAGAGAAAUUUUCAAUUGUUGAAAUUUCUAAAAUUCAUUUUGAAAAAGAAAAUGAAAUUUUGAGAAAAGAAAAUGAGAUUUUGAGAAAAGAAAAUGAGAUUUUGAGAAAGAAAAAUGAAUGGUUAACCUUCUCUCUUUCAAAAUUUUCUUGUGGACAAUAAUAUUUUGAAAUGAUUCUACCUAGCCAAAAAUAUGUUUUUGAGAAACAAGGGUUAGGAUUCAAAUCUUCAAAAAAUUAAAAGUAUUUUAAAAACUAUUUUGUAAAAGAAUCUUCAAGUGCAAGUCCUUCUACUACUUGCAACUUUUGUGGAAGAGAAGGGCACAUUAGUAGUACAUGUCCCUUAAGAAAUGGUUCUCAAAAGAAUUCAAAUGCAAAAUCUAAAAAGGUUUGGAUUGAAAAAUCCAAGGUCACUAACCCUCAAGGACCCAAAAAGAUAUGGGUACCUAAAUCAACUUGAGUUUUUUUUUUUUUUUUGUAGGGUUCAAAGAAGGAUAAGUGGUUCUUGGAUAGUGGAUGCUCAAGACACAUGACCGGGGAUGAAUCCAAGUUUUCUUUCCUUACAAAGAAAAAUGGAGGAUAUGUUACAUUUGGAGACAAUGCAAAAGGAAGAAUCAUUGGUCAAGGCAACAUUGGUAAUGACACAUCCUCUCUUAUUGAAAGUGUUUUUUUAGUAGAUGGUUUAAAACAUAACCUUUUAAGCAUUAGUCAACUUUGUGACAAAAGUUUUAAAGUGAUUUUUUAAGCAUCUCAUUGCAUCAUCAAGGAUAUUCAAAAUGAUAAAACCAUCUUCAUGGGCCAUAGAUGUGAUAAUGUUUACACUAUAAAUAUUUCAAAAUAUGAUGGUCAUGAUAGAUGCUUUUCAAGCAUGCAUGAUCAAAGUUGGUUGUGACAUAGGACAUGCUAAUAUGGACCUCAUUUCCCAACACAACAAAGAUGAACUUGUUAGAGGUCUUCCCAAAAUAAAUUUUCAAAAAGACAAAGUUUGUGAAGCUUGUCAAGUGGGAAAGCAAAUAAAAAAUUCUUUCAAAAACAAAAAUUUCAUUUCAACAUCUAGGCCUCUUGAGUUGUUGUAUAUGGAUUUAUUUGGUCCUUCUAAGACACCAAGUCUUGGAGUAAAAUCUUAUGCAUAUGUUAUUAUGGAUGAUUUCUCUAGAUACACAUGGGUCUUGUUUUUAAGUCAAAAGAAUGAAGCCUUGUAUGAGUUUUCAAAAUUUUGCAAUAAGGUUCAAAAUGAAAAAAGUUUUAUAAUUACUUGUAUAAGAAAUGAUCAUGGGAGAGAAUUUGAAAAUAUUGAUUUUGAAGAAUAUUGCAAUGAGCAUGGUAUUAACCACAUUUUUUCGGCUCCUAGAACUCCUAAACAAAAUGGGGUAAUUGAAAGGAAAAAUAGAACUCUUUAAGAAAUGGCUAGAACCAUGCUAAAUGAAAACAAUUUACCAAAAUAUUUUUGGGCCGAAGUGGUUAACACUUCUUGUUAUGUUUUAAAUAAAAUAUUAUUGAGGUCCAUUCUUAAGAAAACUCCCUAUGAGUUUUGAAAAAACAAGAAACCCAACAUUAGCUAUUUCAAAGUCUUUGGGUGCAAAUGUUAUAUAUUAAACACCAAAGACAAUCUUGGAAAAUUUGAUGCAAAAUUGGAUGUUGGAAUUUUCCUUGGUUACUCAACUUCAAGUAAAGCUUUUAGAGUUUUCAACAAAAGAACCAUGGUUGUAGAGGAGUUCAUCCAUGUUAUUUUUUAUGAAUCUAACAAUUCUCUCCAAGAAAGAGAAAGUUUUGAUGAUGAUUUAGGUUUGGAGACCUCCAUGGGAAGAUUUCAAAUUGAAGAUAAAAGGCAACAAGAAGUAAUUGGAGAGGAUCCCAAGAAAGAAGAAUCACCAUUGGCACUACCUCUCCUCAACAAGUGCAAGGUGAAUCAAGUCAAGACAUUCCUAAAUAUUGGAAGUUUGUCAUCAACCACCCACAAGAUCAAAUUAUAGGUAAUCCAUCUAGUGGGGUAAGAACUAGAUCAUCUCUUAAAAAUAUUUACAAUAUUCUUGUUUUUAUCUCUCAAAUUGAGCCUAAAAAUAUGAAUGAUGCUUUAGUUGAUGAAAAUUGGAUGAUUGCUAUGCAAGAAGAGUUAAAUCAAUUUGAAAGAAGUGAAGUAUGAGAAUUAGUGCCAAGACCUUCAAAUCAAAGUGUUAUUCGAACUAGAUGGGUCUUUAGAAAUAAAAUGGAUGAAAAUGGCAUAAUUGUUAGAAAUAGAAAUAAAAUGGAUGAAAAUGACAUAAUUGUUAGAAAUAAAGCAAGAUUGGUAGCCCAUGGUUUUAAUCAAGAAGAAGGGAUAGAUUAUGAAGAAACCUUUGCCCUCGUAGCUAGGUUGGAAGCCAUUAGGAUGCUACUUGCCUUUGCAUGCUUUAAAGACUUUGUUUUAUAUCAAAUGGAUGUGAAAAAUGCUUUUUUGAAUGACUUUAUAAAUAAAGAAGUAUAUGUUGAACAACCACCUGGUUUUCAAAGUUUUAUAUGAUAGGCUUACAUGCAUAUCAUUGUCAUAUCUUUUGUUUGGAUCAUAUGUUUGAUAGGCUUAUAUGUUUUCGUGUAUUAUUUACUUAUAUAUGAUAUGUUAUAUGCUUCAUGACUUACACCAUUUCCUAUUGAAAAUUCACAUGUCUUGAUUAUCUUUGUUUUAACUUCAUAAAUUUUGAUUGAUUGAUCCAUGAUUGGUUUGAGGGGGAGAUUUUUCUUCUCCUAGAUAACCAAGGUUUGUCAUUAUAAAAAAAUGGGAGAUUGUUAGCCCAAGGGUUCUCCUAAUAAGGUUUUGAUGAUAACAAACCAUGGUUAAGUUACUAAUUGGUUUGAAUAAUAAAGAAUCUCAGGUAUUAAUUUGAAAAUUCAUCAAAGGACCUAAUGGAUACAAGAUCGAGACUUUUGGAAGACUUUUAUUCAUAGGAAACAAAUGUAAGAUGAAUGCAUGAGUGCACUUAGGUUUUACAUAUCAUUUCAUGCAUCUUUGAAAACUUGGUUUAUUAUUUAAAAUUACAAUUUCAUUAAAACCCGAGUUUUAUCAAAUAUACCUUAGGCAAAACGUUUCAAGAUUGACAUAUUAAUUUACCUAAAGACUUUGCCUAAGUGUUAGAAAAGAGAAGAACUGAAAAAGAUAGGUUUUCGGGGCCAAAAGGCUGAAUCGGUCGAGGCAUUGACCAACCGGCUCAACCAACCAGGGAACCGGUCGACCGGUUGCCCUUGUCCGGUCCGGUCGAGGACUGUUAAAAACACUCUCUCUCAUCCAGUAGCCUUUCUUAGCUCCCGAGGUUAGAAACCUAUAUUGAGAGCUCCACUUCAUUUAUGAUAUAGAGAACACUUGCAUUCAAUUAUCUACCUACUUGUUCUUACCUUAAAAGCUCUCAUUUCUUUCUUGGUGCAUUACAUCUUUACUUGUAUAUCUUUUAGUGCACCCUUGCGAGUCAUCCUAACUUUGAUUUGUAUUUAAGUCAUUAUUGAGCUAGGUUGAGAGAAGAUCAAUCUUGUAAAUUGAGUGUUAGAGCCUUCAAGUAAGUUGAAUCUUGAAGAGAUUGUGUAAGAGCCCAUUGGAGCCGGAAUCCAAGUGUAAAGAAGAUUAGAAGCUUGGUUGAAGCUUCAAGUUAGUGGAACUCUCACUCGGUUAGGAGCUUGAGGAGAGUGGACGUAGGCAAAGAAGUCUCGAACCACUAUACAAUCUGAGUUUGAAUUCUCUAACUCUAUCUCAUUAUAUUUGCUUAUAUUGUACUUAAAUUUGUUGUGUUGAAAAAGUUUUUGAAAAACCCAAUUAACCCCCCCCCCCCCCGGCGUUAUAGGUUAUAAAUUUUGUUGAUUAAUCCCUCAAUCAAGGAGCACCAGCUGGACACGAAUCAGCUGGCACACCAACUGGGCAUGAAUCAAAUGGCGCCGUUGCCGGGGAUCGUACCCCGAAUCAAAUGGUGCCAUUGCCACUGCCGCUGCUAGGGACGAAUCAGUAGCUUCGGGUUGCAUGUUAGCUCAGCUCGAUGAUUCAGGAAAAUGAGCGAACUANNNNNNNNNNNNNNNNNNNNNNNNNNNNNNNNNNNNNNNNNNNNNNNNNNNNNNNNNNNNNNNNNNNNNNNNNNNNNNNNNNNNNNNNNNNNNNNNNNNNUUUGUUUUUUUUUAAACCCUUUUGUGGGGGGGGGGGGGAAGAGAUCUUUUUUUAAAAUGGGGGUUUGGGCCCCUACAAAAAUUGAUUUUCGGAAGGGUUUGUUGAAGGCCCCUUGGGGCCCGGAACCCAAUUUAAAAAAAAAUUAAAACUUUGGUAAAACCUCAAAAUUGGGGAAAUUUCCCCCUUUUUGGGGCCUUGGGGGGGGGGGGAUUGGAAAAAAAUUUUCCAACCCCCUUACAAUUUGGGUUUUAAUUUUUUAAACUUUUUCCCUUUAUUUUUGUUUUUUUGGAAAUAAAAUUUUUGGGGUAAAAAAAUUUUUUAAAAAACCCAAUUACCCCCCCCCCCCCCCCCCCCCUCCCCCUGCUCCCCCGGGUGUUUUUCUUAUUAACCUUUAUUUUCUCAAAUAUGACUUAAAUUAAACAAACUUAAUAUUAAUGACCUUGAUCAAAUAUCAACUAAAAGUAAUAUUUGAAAUAAAACUCAAUAAGUUAAUCAAAUUCAAAAUAUAACAAAAGAAAACUCAUAAAUAAAUAAUUUAGAAAAUCAAUUCAAAAUGAAUUUUGUUUCAAUACUCACACCUCCCACAACAAUCAAUACAAUAGCUAAUAAUUAUAUAACUAGAAAAAAAUAUUAUUCAAAACCUUCUUUUCUAGAUGUAUAAUUAGAAGAAAGAAAUUAUAAAUUAGCUAUUAGCCAUGAUGGUAGUAGUUUCUAUGAAUUGAACAUAGAUAUUAUGAGUGAACAUUAGAUAAUCAAUUUACUUCAUGAAAUAAUAAUAGUUGUUAAUGCUUAUAAAAUCAAAAUUAAUAAUUUUGAUUUUCAUGUCGUUGGUACUUUAGUCAUAGGAUUCACUGGUGUACUCAAAGAAUGGUGGGAUAAUUAUCUUAAUCAAAAUGAUAGAGAAUUCACGUUAAAUGUAAGAAAAAUAGUAGUCAAAGAAGAAGGAACAUUUGUGCAAACUUAUGAAGAAGAUGUUAUCAAUAUUUUAAUAUUUGCAAUAACAAAAUAUUUCGUAGGAGAUUCAUUUUACUUUUAAGAAAGAACUUUAGAAAUACUCAAUGAUCUUAUAUGUCCAACUCUUCAAGAUUUCAAAUGAUACAAAGAUAUGUUUUUAGUUGAAGUUAUGACAAAAUAUGAUUGUAGAAGUCAUUAUUGGAAAGAAAAUUUUAUUUUAGGAUUUUCAAUUCUAUUGACAGAAAAAGUUAAACAAAGAAUUGGAAAUUUACACAAUGAAAGAAUUCCUUAUGAGUUAUUAACUUAUGAAAAAUUAAUUACAUUUAUCAAUAAUAAAGAACUAGCUUUAUGUAUAGAUUUCAAACUUAAGAGUCAAAUGAAAAAAGAAAGACAAGAUAAUAAAAAAAUUAUGAAGAUUUUGUUCAUAUUAUGGAUACGAUACUUUGGUAGCCCCUUCAAAUAGAAAAAAUAAAAAUAAUAAACCAAAUAAUAUAACAAGUCAUAAGGCAUCAAAUGAAACAAAAUUUCAAAAGAAAAAUAAAAAUAAUAAUAAAUAAAAAAACUCUAUCAAAUCAAAUUUUAUAAAGAAAACACCAACAUGAAAUACUUUUUUUUCUUGAGUAAUUCUAAAAUCCUUUUAACUUGAUUGGAUGUGAGUUAUGAGUCAUGAGAGAAAUCAAGUAGAUUGGAAGCCAAAACGCUUGAUAAUCAACCCACAAGAAGUAGAUUUGUAUUUUUCAUAAGCAAUAGUCAACCUACAAGAAAAAAAGUAAAUAUUUAUAUAUAUAUAUAGACUCGUCUUAAUCAUAUAAAUAUGUUUUAAAAUCAUGAGAGAUCCUUGAGUUUGGAGCGUACAAUAUAUAAAUGUAUUUUAAAACUGUGAAAGACCCUUGAAUUUGAAGCAUAUUAUAUUAUCCAUCUAGUUGUAUAUAUAUGUGUGUGAACUCUUCUUAAUCAUAUAAAUGUGUUUUAAAAUCGUGAAAGACCCUUGAUUUUGGAGCAUACAAUAUAUAAUAUAUAAAUGUGUUUUCAAUCUGUGAGAGAUCUUUGAGUCUGGAGCAUAAAAUAACCAUUUAGUUGGAAACGGACCCAUACAAAUGCAUAUAAUACUCAAUCUUACAAUUCAAUUUCCAAUUCCAUCUUAUGUAUACAUGGAUUCCUCUUAAUCAUAUAAAUCUAUUUUAAAACUGUGAGUCCUUUGACUUUGGAGCAAACAAUUAAUAUCCAUUUAGUUGGGAAAUGGAUCGUUAUAGAUACAUAUAUUACUCAAUGGCAGAACAAUUCCAGACCCCAUUUCAGACCUUUGGAGAUCUACUCAACAAUAUCCUCAAGAAAUGGAUAAUCAGUGUAGCCGAUUAUGGGUUCGGGUGCGUAGAAUGUCUCCCUGUUAUACUUGUUGAGAGGAGCAUUGAGCGCAAAUCUUUCUGGAAGAUCUGGGUUGGCUAAGAACCAACGUCCAAAUGCAACAAGAUCUGCACGCUCCUCAGCCACAGCAUUGUUUCCGUCUUCUUUCACAUAACCCCCAGCGGCUAUGAAUGUGCCAUUGAAAGCCUUUCUCAAGGGCACGAGGCUGUGGGGACACUCACACAUUUCUCCGGCUGCUCUUAUCCUUGGCUCAACCAUGUGGCAAUAGAGGACACCAUAUUUGUUUAAGGAUUCAACCAUGUAAAGGCCCAGAGCUGUUGGAUUGGAGUCUCCUGCCUCGGCAUGAUGGCCAAAUGGAGAAAGCCUUAUUCCAACCUUAUCAGCUCCUAUCUCAUUAACGACCGCUUCUACUACUUCCAAUGGGAACCUGCAACGGUUCUCUAGUGAUCCACCAUACUUGUCUGUUCGAUCAUUGACCUGGUCUUUCAUGAACUGGUCAAGUAGAUAGCCAUGAGCUCCAUGGAUCUCAACUCCAUCAAAACCUAUAUAUUGGGUAAACAAUAUUAUCAUCAGUGCAUCGAAGAAAUUGACUAGAAAGUUAAUUCAUGAUUAAUUGUAUUAGAGGAUGAAUUUACCAGCUUCCAUAGCAUUUCUUGCAGCAAGUCUAAAAUCAUUGACAACUCGAGGAACUUCAUCUGUUGUUAGCCGCCUAGGAGCUGUGAACUCAGCAACAUCAAAGCCAUUGCUUCGGACUUGUGGCGUCAAUGCCUUGUCUGUAGAAGAUAAUGGAGCUUGCCCAUUUGGCUGGAAUUCUGUAAUGAUCAGUAAUAGGAUAGAUAGAAUUAGAAAACAUUAUCCGUGUAGCAAAUCAGUUUUGUCCUUCACAUGAUUACAACAACAAAAUAGACCUAAAGAAUUCCUUGCACGUCUAAAUAGUAUCCCAACAAUUCAAGAACAUACCUGUGUUUGAAACUCUUCCCACAUGCCAAAGCUGACAAAUAAAGAUACUGCCUUUAGCAUGAACAGCAUCUACAAUGGGCUUCCAGGCUUCAACUUGCUCUUUUGUCCAUAUACCCGGGGUAUGUGCAUAGCUACAUAGAUGGGAAAAACCAGAUAAUUAAUCUUAUAUCUAUCAACUUGAUCAUAUAUUUUUUAUUUAAACUUAGAAAAUGAACAGAAGUUGAGAAAGUAGUGUUUGCUGUAAUUACCCUUGAGCAGUGUCGGAAACUCCAGUUGCUUCAGUUAUGAGAAGCCCCCCUUUAGUGGCUCUCUGGGAGUAAUACAAGAUUGCAUGGGGCUGAGGAACAUUGUCCCAAGAUCUCUGUCUAGUUAGUGGAGCCAGAACCACCAUACAAAAUGUUAAGAGUAAAAGAAAAAUUAGCCAUGUUUAGAACUUGCAGACGAAGAAAUCUAACACAUUCAUCUAAAGAAUAUGUUAGAGGAGCAAUGUUCAUGUGCUACAAGAGCACCCUCAAGGCAGAAUUCAUGCUAUCUUUGGUUGUUUAGAAAAAGAAGGGAAAAGAAAGGAAAUUGAUGUUGUAAAUCUUAAAAAGUUUUAUUUCUCAUAACCCCAUUCACAAAAAUUUUCCCUCAAUGCAGCCAAAUACAAGUAUACAGCCUCCCCCUUUCUUUCCCAGAAACCACUCUCAAAAACUUUCUUUUUCUUUCUUUUCUUGUCUGCUUUCUCAUUUUCUGAAUCAAGCACAAACCCACAAAUUCUAACAACCCCCAACAAGUGGAAACAGAAGAUACGAAAGAAAAUGCAAGAAAAUGAAGAGAGGAAGUGGAGAAAUGUACCUAUGAGAGAGCUGAAACGUGCCCAUCUUGUAUGGUGUGAGAAGGGGCUGCUCUCCUUGCACUUUUCCUUCCAUGUCUGUCAGUUUCUCUCUCUCUCUCUUUUUUUUUUUUCCUCAAAAACUCAAUGAACGAAAGAAUCAAACUACGGAGAAUGAAGUAUGAAAAACAAUAUCCGAAGUGUGUUGAGACUUGAAAGUCCAAUGUGUUGAAGCCUAUUAGUAUUUAUAGAGAAGAAGAAGAGAGAGGCUGUUAUAUCUGUAUAUUUGGCGGCGGCUGCUGCUACAGUUAUAUGAGUGGGACACCCCUGGUGAUCAAAGUUGAAUGCUUUUUCUGCUGUCCAAAUCCUUUGUCAUGUCAACUCUGGUUUCAGGAUGAACUAUUAAAUAAUCAUUAAUCCCUUAAUAAUAAUUAAAAAUAAAGGAUUAAUGAGCUGUUAAAUAACAUUUAAAAUUUAAAAAAAAAUAUUAAUUUCUUAUCACAUUUCUUUAAAUUAUGGUUAUUUUUUUAUCAUACCUAAAUGAAUAUGUCAAAAUUACUUUUGAAUCAUAUUUUCCAAUUAGUUAAGUUUCAUAAACCAUUUUAUCUUCUAAAAAUUAAAAUCAAAAUUAGAACAAAAAAUUUAAAAUAUUAUAUUAAUAUAGUAAUAUUUUAUUAAAUAUGAAAUAAUUUAAUAAAUAAUAUAAAUAAAACCGAUCCCAGAAUCAAUUUUCUUUUAUCAUAAACUCUUUUUAAUAAAAUUAUUUAAAUAAAAAAAGUAGAAAAACAUAUUUAACAACUAAAAAACAUGAAAAAUGGUAUUUUUUAGAUUGCAUAUUUUAAUUGUUUUUUAUUAUUUCACUUUUUUUUUGGUCGGAACGUUUUUUAUUGAAGUAAUAACUAAUAAAAGAAAAUUAACCCACAUCGGGUAAAACUAAUUUUUAUACCAAAGCAAAAUAUGAUAAGAAAAAAGGAAAAAUUAAUCCACAAUGGCUAAAAAUAAUGAAGAAAGUAUAGAAACAAAAUAAGAGAAGUUUGAAAGACAUGAGGUCCCAUUAUGAGGUUGAAUAAUAAUAUAUGUAUUGUGCAAGGGUCCAUCGGGUGCGGUCACUAAUGAUGAAAAUGCAAUAAUGUGAUGUGUAUAUAUGGAUUGGCCACCUUCAUUGACCAUGGUGCACCCAUGUCCAACCCAGAAGUCUACAUUGGCUGCACCCACACCUUCUCCCUUACAUCACUGCAUCACCCGACCUUCUUUUUUAAUCUUAUUUCUUUUAAGCUCUUUUAUGAUAUUAGUAUAGAAAAGUAAUGACCAAUACAAGAAUAGAUAUACAAUUAACUUAACACUCAUUGCUUUUAAAAAUGAAAAAUAGUAAAACUCAUAGUUUGUAAUGACUCAAAUCCUCUCAUACAAAUAUUGUCCGUUCUAAACUUUAACACUUUAAAAUAUGUCUACAAUAAAGAUUUUAUAUUUUCAUAAUGAAUGAUUGUGAUAUCCUAUAUUGAAUGAGAGAAAAAGUUUUUGAUGUUAUAUGUAUAACUCAUCUUAAUAUAUGUAUUCCUUUUAAUAUUGUAGGUAUGUUUUAAAGUCAUAAGGGUUCAUUAGGUUCAAAGUGGAUAAUAUCUACAUAGUUGGGAGUGUUAAUACAUUAUAUAUUAUAGUUUGCGUAUGGAUAAUUUUGUUCUUUUUAUUCUAACAUAGGAUCUUUCUAGACGAUGACUUACUCUCUAUUAAAGAUUCAAGGUUAUUGAUUGAUUAAUUGAAACGUCACAAGUAAGUUUGGAUAGGUUUAAAUAAAGGUAAAUUAGAAUUGAAAUGAUAAGGGUUGGAUCAGUUAUUUCAAAUUAUGCAAAAACGAUUUUAAAUUAUGUUUCAAUUUAGGCUUUAUUCAUUUAUUUUUCUUUUUUUAAUUUGGUAAAUAUGAAUUUCAUAAUCCAAUAGCAAGUCUUUUAGUUAGUAUGAUAUAUUUUAAGUUUUAUUGUAUAUUUGGUAGGCAAUGAUGUGUUUUUUGUCAAUCUAAAUGUUGAUGAAUGUUUGCUCAUUUGUAAUUGAAGAAUAAAAACCUAAAAAGGAUAAAUUGUUUGAAACUAGGCUUGAAUAGAAGCAUGAUUUUUCUUAAUGCGAUAAUUUAUAAAAUUUGAGAAUGUGUUUUUUUGAGGCCUUCUAGAUUUUUUAUUUUAUUUUAUUUUUUUAUAGACUUCUUUGAAAAUUUGUAACUUCCCAUUCCUUCCCAUGCAGAUAUGAUCCACUAUGGGUCAAUAGGGUAUACAUAUAUACCUCACAUUUGAUAUGAGACAUCGCAAUCCCACCUCCCUGAUCUCACAUGGAAACAUGACAUCCUCAUUAUGCCCCAUAGAUUAUGGGGCCAAAAGGACAGUUACUCCUUAUGGGGUUAAACAAGUAAAGACUUACAUCAAGGUCGAAGAUCCUUGCUCAUACUAUUUGUAAUGGCUCACUUUUAGCCAUGUAGUUGUUUUGGGUAAAAUGGACCUUCAUAACUUUAAAACAUGUUUACAUGGUUAAGAGAAGUAUGUUGUGUAUAUUGUAUUGUAGAAUAUCAUUACUACUCUUAAACAAACAUAACAUCUUCAUUAUGUCUCACAGGAUUAUAGGGCAUUUAGAUGGACAAAUACCUCUUGUGGGGCUAAACAAAUUCCCACACUGGGUCAAGGAUCAACUUUGAUAUCAUUUAUAAUGUCUCGCUCCCUUUAAUAUAAAUGUUAUCUGUCUUGAGCCAAUAAACACUUACAACUUUAAAAUAUGCCCAUAUGAUUAAGAGACGUUUAUAUAUAUAUAUGAGACAUUACAAUUAACCCUAUCUUUCAUACAGACAUGAUGUCCUCACAAGAUUACAGGGUCAAGUAGAUGAAGGCUUACAUCAAAAUUAAAGAUCGACUUUGAUACCAUUUGUAAUAACUUACUCUCUCCUAUGUGGAUAUUAGUCACUCUAGGUCCAAUGAACAAUUAUAACUUUAAAAUGCAUUUUAAAAUAGUAAAGUUCCAUUGUAGUUAAAGCAAACAAUAUCUACAUGAUUAAAAUAGAUUACUUUACUUCUCUUUUCAAAUGUUAAUAUAUCAAACAACACAACUUUUUUUUCCCUACAGCAAUCUAGAAUACUCAUUUUAUCACUUCAUUAUCUAAGAGGAGUAUAUAUAUCCUACAUGGGAACACUCACCCAUCUCUAUUUAUGGGUUAAAAGGCAAAAACAAUUGGUACAUAAUUAAUAUUCCAUCGAAGAUAGUAACUUCUUUGUAUUAUGAUGAGCCCUUGUUUUGUUAGGCAAUUGAUGAGGAGUACUUUGUGGAGCCAAUAAAGAGCAAAAUGCCAAUUCGUGCUCUUCUUGAUGCAUACAUUUUCUCACAAACAAUUAAACUUUCUUUAUUUUUUAUCCAAUAAUGUUUCUUGAUUCUCUAUACAUUAUGUUAUUCACAUGGAUGUUUUCACACCUAUAUGAGGACAAUCUUACAGUUUCUUGUUUACUUAUGUUUUGUUUGAAAUGUUCAUUACCUGUUAUGAUUAUAUAUGAGGUAAAUCCACAUUUUCUCAUGUUAUACUUAGAGUGUGUUCAUUGUGUUCAUUUUCCCAUGUUAUACUUAAAAGAUUACAGUUGACAUGUUUAGUAUUUUCUUAAUUUAAAAAUGUUUUUAGGAUAAUAGUUUAUCAAGUGUUUUUAGGAGAAUGGUUUAUGAAGUGUUUCUCCAAAAAAAACACUAAUAUAUUUUUCAGAUUUUUAAAUAUAUUUCCUAAAUUUUAUUAAACACCUACUUUUAUUUUUUUCAAAAACACUUUUUAAGUUAAAAACACUUCUUAAAAUCAUUUUCAAACAACUCUUAUAUUAUUAAUAUAAUAUGAUUUUUAGAUAGAAAAAAGUGAGUUUUGACUCAUUAAUUUGAAAAAAUAUAGAAAAAGGAACCUCAACUUUUAUAAAUCAAUUUUAUAUUCAUUCAUUUAAAAAUAUUUUAAAUGAUAUGCAUUUUUUUUAUAAGUCAAAUAAUUAUUAAGUAAAAUUAUAAAAAAAUUGAUUUAUCAUUUUAAUUUAAUAAAAGUAUGACAUAAAUAACUAUAUUAUAAAUUUUUUAUUAUAUAAUAUGAGAUACAAAUCAUUUUGAAAAAGUUCUCCAUGAUAAUCUUCCUAAUUCCCUAUACCCAUCUUCUCAUCUUUCUUUAAUAAAAUUGAAUAAAAAUUUUGUUAGUUGGCAUCAAUAAUAAAAUAAGAAAAUUUAAAAAUUAAAAAUAUAACUAAAACUAAAAUACUUAAAAAUUAAAUACAAUUAAAAUUAAAAAAAAUUAAAAGUUAAAUACAACCAAAAAAAAAAAAAAACUUAAAAAAAAAAUAUCGCCUCUCAAAUUUCCAACUCUUUCUCGAAUCUAUAUUUUCUACUAAUAUGAUUUUAAAAAGUAAAAAUUAAUAUUUUAUUUUUAUAUUUUUAGUUUUAAUUGUAUUUUAAAUUUUUAAAAUUUCUUAUUUAUUAAUUUCAAAUCAAUUUUUACAAAAAAAAAAUUUCAAUUGGUAUUAUUGACCAGACAAGUAAAAAGUCAUUUAAAAAAAUAAUUAUCUGACUCGUGAAAAAAUAUAUAUAUUAAAUAGAUGAAGAUAAAAUUGAUUUAUAACAAUUAAGGUUACUUUUUCUAUAUUUUUUAAAAUUAAUGAGUAAAAAUGGCUAUUCAAUUGUGUGUUUUUGGGACUUGUUAAAAUAAAUAUCAUGCUUUACAUAUUUUAUAAACAACUAUUUUCUAAUUGUAUAUGGUAAGGUGCAUUGCAUGUAGAGACUUCUAGGCCUUGUUUGGUAACUGUUUUUGAAAACAGUUAUGAAAAAAUAGGUUUUAAGAACAGUUUUUGAAAACUAUGAUAUGAUGUUUUAUAGAACAAAAGUUUGUUUGAAAAUCUAAAAUUAUUUUUAAUCUGUUUUUAAUAUUUUUAAAUAUGUUUUAAAAAUAAUUUUUAUGUCCAUAGCUUUAUUUUUUAUCAUUAUAUAUGUUUAUAUAAUUAUACUUUAAAACAACUCUAAAAAACAAUUAAAAACAACUAAAAUAAGUUUUCUAAAAACACCUUAUUUUCUGUUUUUUGAUAAUAAAAAUCAGAAAGAAAAUAAAAAACAGUUUUUGAUUAUUAAACGUAAUUUUCAGUUUUUUUAUUUUAAAAAUAGAAAACUAUUCUUAAAAACGGUUAUCAAACAAGACCCUAGUGUUCAUCAUUCUAUGAUAACUAUUUUCUACUUGUAUAUGGUAAAUAGGUUAUGUGCAUUCAAUGUAGACACUUAUAGUCUCCAUUAAAGGCCGGUUACUUAGGAAAAAAAAUGAAAAACAUAUCUUUACUAUGAUUUUGAUAAAUUUAUGAAUAUAUUAUGUAUUUAAAAUAUGGAAAAUUGUUGGUUUUUCAUAAAUGGAUCCUACUAAAAUUUAACCCAAUUUAAUUUUGGCAUCCCAUGUAUCACAUCACAACAUUAUUUCGGUUGGACUCAAAAAGGCUUUAUUUAAAAAAAUAUGAAAAAAAAAAAAAAUGUUCAUCUAUGAAAAAAAAAAAAAAAAAAAUCAUAAGGAAAAUUCCUUGAUUAGAGUACUUGACUUGGUGUUUAGGCUUUUAAAUACAUUAUAUUUAUAAAAUAUCUUCAAAAUUUACUUAAAAAAAUAUUUAUAUUAAAAAAUAAUACUAACUUCAAAUUAUUGUAAUAGACAAUUUCUUCAAAGUAAAUAGCGUUCUAAAUUAAUUGAAAUCACUCAAAUUAAUCUAUAUACAGCUAACUUUAUGAUAAAACUAUCUUAAAUUCAUUUUAAUUCAUUUAAAAUAAAUUAAAACUUGCCACUAAUAUUAUUAAUUUUAUUGAAAUGUUUUUAUUACAUUUUAAAUAAAUAAUUAAAUGAUUUAAAAUAUUUAAAUAAGUUCCAUAUCAAAUGUUUUACUUGAAAAUUCUUUUUGGAAAAUAUGUCUCAAAAUUUUUUCUUUUGAGUUUAUUUGCAUUAUUAAAAUUAUUAAAAAAAGUUCUUAUAAUUUAUAUUACCAUUAUUUAAGACUAAUUUUUAUAUUGCAUGCCGAAUUUUGCUUCAUAAACAUCAGAUUUUUAAAUGGAGCCUAUUACAAAUUAACGAGAAUAUAUAUGGAAAUAUUCGUCAUUUUCUAUAAAUUUGAUUUUUUUUUUUAGUAUUAUUUUAUUAAAUGUUAGAAUGAAAUGAAGACGACUUUUCCUUUUCUUAUGUUCUCGUAUGUUCUUUUGUCAUCCACCAACAUGAUGACCUCAUUGCUGAUGAAAAAAGUUCACGAAUGAUUCAUUUUGUGUACGUCAAUUUGAGUUUGACUGACAUGUGGGAUGAUCUCAUCAGCCGCAGAUGUGAACAGAACACGCCCUUGGAUCUUCUCUCUAUAAAUGGGCUUCAACCCACUCGGAUGUUUUCAUUGUUUCAUAGAUUCCUUCAACGAUUAUUUUCCAGGAAAAGAAAAGAAAGAGAGAAACCAAACACUGAUGGACGGGAAAGUACAAGGAAUAAAUGGCGUCUCUGCUGAAACCCCCAUCCCUCUUAUCACUCCAUACAAAUUGGGCAAGUUCCAGCUCUCUCACAGGUGCAGUCUCCACUUGCUCGCCAGAUUUUCUCCCAUUUUCUUUCAUAUUUUCUGUUUCCACUUGUUGGGUGUUGCUGGAUUUUGGGUAUUUUGAGGGAAAGAUGGAAUGUGUGGGGAAAUUUAUGUCUUUGGGUCAUGGGUGAUGGAAAAUUUUUAAGAUUUAGAGUUUUCCUGCUUAUUUGACAACAGUUUUUUAUUUUUUAGAGUAAAAGAAUUCGGAAACACGUUUAAUAAUAAAAAGUUGUUUUAUAUUUUAUGUUCUUAAAAAUAUAAAAUUGGGUGUUUUCGUAUUAUAUCUUUAAAUUGUUUUCACUUUUUUUUUUCAUGGUUAUUUUAAAAAAUGAUUAAAUAAAUAUAUAUAAUGAUUAAAUGCAUAUGUUGGAUUUCUGAUUUUAAUUUUGUUUUUUGAGAAGUGGACAUAGGCUGUGUAUGAUUGAUGUUCUGUGCCUGGUUUUAAGGAGAAAAAGAAAUUGUGAUUUUGGGAUUUGGUUUGAACUAUUGAAUCCAUGGCUUCUAAAUUUGGAGAUUCAACAAUGCUUUAUUUGGGUUUUCAGUUUCUGAGAAAUCCAGCCAGUGAAAUUAAAGGGAUCUAAUUAAUCAAUCUGUUCAGUCUUAAGCUUCCUGCUGGUUAAGCUUUAGUAGUUCAUUCACUGUUUUCUUUGGCCGAAAGUGCUCAAAUAGCUAAAUUUCCUUGUGUUCCAUAUUUUUCAGGGUUGUUCUAGCACCAUUAACCAGGCAGAGAUCUUGGAACAAUGUUCCUCAACCACAUGCUAUCUUACAUUACUCUCAAAGAACCAGCAAAGGGGGUCUUCUCAUAGCUGAAGCAACGGGAGUUUCGGACACUGCUCAAGGGUAAUUGUAGAAGAAGUCAUUUUCUGAAGUUCCAUUCAUUUUCUAAAUGAAAAAAAAAAAAUGCAAAAUGUGCUCGAGCACAUACUUUCCAGUGUUUUGAUAUUGAUGUUGGCCCUGUCGUUUUUGUUAUUUUAUUUUAUUUUUGGAAUUUUCCAUAUUUUUAGGUAUCCAAAUACACCAGGCAUAUGGACAAAAGAACAAGUUGAAGCUUGGAAACCUAUUGUAGAUGCUGUUCAUGCUAAAGGCGGUAUCUUUUUUUGUCAGAUUUGGCAUGUGGGGAGGGUUUCAAACACGGGUAUGUUUUUUACUUACCAUUUGCCGUAGAUUUGAAAGGCAUUCCUUAGCUUACAGCAUGCAAAUGAAUAUUGAAGAGUUCGUGAAUUGAAAUAAGGUUUAUUUUCUGUUUGGUUAUAGCUCCUCUGAUUUAUCCAUCCUAUUAACUUUUUCAGGUUUCCAGCCAAACGGGCAAGCUCCAAUCUCUUGUACAGACAAGCCAUUGACACCCCAAAUCGGAGCCAAUGGCAUUGAUGUUGACCAGUUCUCACCUCCCCGGCGGCUAACAACAGAUGAAAUCCCUCAAGUUGUAAAGGAUUUUAGACUUGCUGCAAGGAACGCUAUUGAAGCUGGUAUGUGAUAUUUUCAAUUAAAAUAAAUUUUGGUGAUGGUGAACAACAUUUGAUCAGCCAAGUCAUAGCAUUUGAAGGUCAUGAAUGCUCGGCUAAGAAAAUGGCAGCCAUUCCCACCAUUGAAUUAUUGGAUUUUAGUCUUAUGGUUUUGUGAAUGAAGUCACUUCAGUUUCUUUGAUGCAAUAACAUUACUUGUUCAAUAUGUAGGUUUUGAUGGAGUUGAGAUCCAUGGGGCUCAUGGCUACCUACUUGACCAGUUCAUGAAAGACCAGGUCAAUGAUCGAACUGACAAAUAUGGUGGAUCCCUAGAGAACAGAUGCCGGUUUCCUUUGGAAGUAGUUGAAGCUGUUGUUGAUGAGAUAGGGGCAGACAAAGUUGGAAUAAGGCUUUCUCCAUUUGCUACUUAUGCAGAAGCAGGUGACUCGAAUCCAAGAGCUCUAGGCCUUUACAUGGCUGAAUCCUUGAAUAAAUAUGGGCUUCUCUACUGCCACAUGGUUGAGCCAAGGAUGAAAACACUCGGAGAAAAAAGUGAAUGUGCCCAUAGUCUUUUGCCCAUGAGAAAAGCUUUCAAUGGUACAUUCCUUGUUGCUGGGGGGUAUGACAGAGAAGAUGGGAACAACGCUGUGGCAGAGAAUCGCGCAGAUCUUGUUGUGUAUGGGCGUUGGUUCUUGGCCAACCCAGAUCUUCCAAAGAGAUUUGCGCUCAAUGCUCCUCUCAACAAGUACAACAGAGAAACAUUCUAUACACCCGAUCCUGUUCUUGGUUACACUGAUUAUCCAUUUCUUGAAGACGCGGAGUAGAUUCUCAAAGUUGUAGGAUUAGAACUUUGAAUCAUUUUUCAGUGAUAAAAGCAUCCUAAAUGCCAUAGUUGUUAUUUUCUUUUGUCCCUUUCAGAUAGUUUCCACGUUAUUGUAAGAAUUCAUUGAUUCAAGGACUAUCCUGCAUGAUAAUAAAGGGAUUAAUUCCCAUAAUUAUGCUUAUGUUGAUAUUUAGUUUCAUGUUCAUGCUAAUUCCGGCCUACCUUUCCAAAUUUUAAUGCUAAUAAAUGAGCCGUUUCAGGCCAGCCCAAUGCAUCUCCAGUAGCCCAGCAUAUAGGCUUGUGUGGUUGUACAAGCACUCAAGCGCUAUCUCGGACCGAUGUGGGAUUCAGAUACCACUUCUCAUAUUUAAAAAAUUAACCCGCACAAGAGAAAGAGGCAGACCACCAAACUAUUACCAAUAUAUAUAAUAUUCUUAAAUAUUAUUUAUAAAUUAUAUUAUAUGUGUAUAAAUUCGUGUGUAUAUAUAUUACAAAUUAAUUAGAAUAAAAUUGUUUUAAAUAAUAUAAUUUUAAUUAUUGUAUAUUUUCUAUAAUAAUGCAAUAUAAAUUUAUAAAUAAAAUUAUCAACAUUUUAAAAUAAAAAAUAUUUAUACUUUUAUUAUCAUUUCUUUAAUGUGUGUAAAUACAUCCAAAUUAUAUGGAUUUACAUAAAAUUUAUUUUUAAAUUUUGAACAUUAUUGUUGAAUGUCAAAAUUAUAUCUUACAUAUAUUAAUUUUUAUAACAAAAUAACGUCAAAAAUGUCUAUUAUUACUUUUUCAAUAAUUUCUUAGAACCUUUCUCAACACUGUUAAGAAUUUGAUUAAUUUUCGUCUUAUCGAUAUUUUGUAUCAAAAUAUCCAUCGAUAUUUAUUGACAUAUCCUAAUACAUCCAUAAAAUUAAGUUACCAAUAUAUCCGUAAAAACUGAUAUUUUCAUCAUUGUCACAAGAUACACUUCAUUAUUUCUAUAAAUGUUGUACAACUCUCAAUAUGAAACAAUGUUAAAAUAAAUACUGUUAGCCCAAGGGUUCUCCUAAUCAGGUUUUGAUGAUAACAAACCAUGAUUAAGUUACUAAUUGGUUUGAAUGGUAAAGAAUCUCAGGUAUUAAUUUGGAAAUUCAUCAAAGGACCUAAUGGAUACAAGAUAAGACAUUUGGAAGACUAUUGAUCAUAGAAAACAAAUGUAAGAUGAAUGCAUGGGUGCACUUAGGUUUUACAUAUCAUUUCAUGCAUUUUUGAAAACUUGGUUUAUGAUUUGAAAUUACAAUUUCAUUAAAACGCGGGUUUUAUCAAAUGUACUUUAGGCAAAACGUUUCAAAUUUAGCAUAUUAAUUUACCUAAAGACCUUGCCUAAGUAUUAGAAAAGAAAAGAACUGAAAAAGAUAGGUUUUCGGGGCCAACCGGCUAGGGAACCGGUUGACCGGUUGCCCUUGUCCAGUCUAGUCGAGGUCCGGUCGAGGACUGUUAAAAACACUCUCUCUCAUUCAGUAGCCUUCCCUUCCCGGUUGAGGUAUUCUCUUUCCCGGUCGACCUCUAGUCAAGGUCCAAUCGAGACAACGGUAACCUGCCAAAGCAUUAAAUGCUCCAACGACUAGUGAACUGGUUGACCCCCAGCUCGAUCAGUUGAGGCUGCUUUUUGUUUUUCUUGGCUCCCGAGGUUAGAAACCUAUAAAUCGAGAGCUCCACUUCAUUUAUGAUAUAGAGAACACUUGCAUUCAAUUGUCUACCCACUUGUUCUUGCCUUAAAAGCUCUCAUUUCUUUCUUGGUGCAUUAAAUCUUCACUUGCAUAUCUUUUAGUGCACCCUUGUGAGUCAUUCUAGCUUUGAUUUAUAUUUGAGCCAUUAUUAAGAUAGGUUGAGAGAAGAUCAUUUUUGUAAAUUGAGUGUUAGAGCCUUCAAGUAAGUUGAAUCUUGAAGAGAUUGUGUAAGAACUCAUUGGAGCCGGAAUCCAAGUGUAAAGAAGAUUAGAAGCUUGGUUGAAGCUUUAAGUUAGUGGAACCCUCACUCAAUUAGGAGCUUGAAGAGAGUGGACGUAGGCAAGGAAGUGUCGAACCACUAUAAAAUCUGAGUUUGAAUUCUCUAACUUUAUCUCAUUAUAUUUGUUUAUAUUGUGCUUAAAUUUGUUGUGUUGAAAAAGUUUUUGAAAAACCUAAUUCACCCCUCUCUUAGGUGUUUUUCUAAUUAGCUUUUAUUUUCUUAAUUGGUAUCAGAGCAAGACCUCUUGUUUAAGACUUAAUCGUCUAAGAGAAAAUGACUAUUCCAUCAAACUCAUCUCACACUGAAAAUUUUACAAAACAUAGAGCUCCAUUUUUUACUAGAACCGACUAUUCCUAUUGGAAAACUAGAAUGACUUGGUAUUUACAAUCAAUCGAUUUAGACGUAUGGGAUGUCAUUGAAGAUGACCCAGUUUUUCCUACAAAACUAGUUGAUGGAGUCAUGGUUCCAAAACCCAAGCAAGAAUGGAAUGAGCUUGAUAGAAGAAAUUUUCAAUUAAAUGCUAAGGUCGUUUUUACUUUACAAUGUGCUAUGGAUAGAAAUGAAUAUAAUAGAAUAUGUCAAUGCAAAUCGGUUAAAGAAAUUUGGAGAUUACUUGAAAUAACUCAUGAAGGAACAAAUCAAGUGAAAGAUUCAAAAAUAAAUUUACUUGUUCAUAGUUAUGAAUUGUUUUUUAUGAAAGAAAACAACACUAUUGUUGAGAUGAUCGCUAGGUUCGCCGACAUUGUCAAUGGUCUUGAAGCAUUGGGAAAGACCUACAAGGAAUCCGAAAAGGUGAUGAAGAUAUUGAGGUCACUUCCAUCAAAGUGGAAUACAAAGUUCACCUCAAUUCAAGAAGCAAAAGACUUGACCAAGCUACCUAUGGAGGAGCUCUUAGGGUCAUUAAUGACAUAUGAGAUCAAUUUGACAAAGACACUACAAAAAACUGAAGACAAAAAGAAGAAGAGUAUAACUCUCAAAGCUACAACUAAGGAAGAAGAAGAAUUUGAAGAAGAAAAAUAAAGUGAAGAGGAUGAUGAUCUAGCCCUCAUCACAAAAAUGCUCAACAAAUACAUAAGGGGUAAAAGGUUUAAAGGAAGAAGGUUCACCUCAAGAAGAGACCUUUCUAAAAAGGAAUCUUCAUCUGAUGGUGACAAGGAGAAAUGGGAAGAGAAAAGAGAUUUGGUGUGCUUCAAAUGCAAAAAAUCGGGACACAUUAAAUAUGAUUGUCCUCUCUACAAAAGCGAAGCCAAGAAAAGAAUCAAGAAAGCAAUGAUGACCACUUGGAGUGAAAGUGAAGAAUCCUCCGAAGAAGAAAAUGAGAAAUAAGUGGCAAACAUGUGCUUCAUGGUAAUAGAUGAACUUGAUGAGGUAAACUCUAACUUUAGUGAUGAAGAUAUGCAUGAUGUUUUUAAAGAAUUGUAUGAGGAUUUUGAAAAACUUAAUUUGAAAAAUAUUUCUCUUAAAAAGAAUUUUAACAACUUGAAAAAGAACUUGAAGAAGUAAAAGAGAAAUUUUCAAUUGUUGAAAUUUCUAAAAUUCAUUUUGAAAAAGAAAAUGAGAUUUUGAGAAAGAAAAAUGAAUGGUUGACCUUCUCUCUUUCAAUUUUUUCUUGUGAACAAAAAUAUUUUGAAAUGAUUCUACCUAGUCAAAAAUGUGUUUUUGACAAACAAGAGCUAGGAUUCAAAUCUUCAAAAAAUCAAAAGUAUUUUAAAAACUAUUUUGUAAAAGAAUCCUCAAGUGUAAGUCCUUCUACUACUUGCAACUUUUGUGGAAAAGGAGGACACAUUAGUAGUACAUGUCCCUUAAGAAAUGGUUCUUAAAAGAAUUCAAAUGCAAAAGAUAAAAAGGUUUGGAUUGAAAAAUCCAAGGUCACUAACCCUCAAGGACCCAAAAAGAUAUGGGUACCUUCAAAAUAAUAAAACCAUCUUCAUGGGUCAUAGAUGUGAUAAUGUUUACGUUAUAAAUAUUUCAAAAUAUGAUGGCCAUGAUAGAUGCUUUUCAAGCAUGCAUGAUCAAAGUUGGUUAUGACAUAGGAGGUUGGGACAUGCUAAUAUGAACCUUAUUUCCCAACUCAACAAAGAUGAACUUGUUAGAGGCCUUCCCAAAAUAAAUUUUCAAAAAGACAAAGUUUGUAAAACUUGUCAAGUGGGAAAGCAAAUAAAAAAUUCUUUCAAAAACAAAAAUUUCAUUUCAACAUCUAAGCCUCUUGAGUUGUUGCAUAUGGAUUUAUUUGGUCCCUUUAGGACACCAAGUCUUGGAGGAAAAUCUUAUGCAUAUGUUAUUGUGGAUGACUUUUCUAGAUACACUUGAGUCUUGUUUUUAAGUCAAAAGAAUGAAACCUUUUAUGAGUUUUCAAAGUUUUGCAAUAAGGUUCAAAAUGAAAAAGGUUUUAUAAUUACUUGUAUAAGAAAUGAUCAUGGGAGAGAAUUUGAAAAUAUUGAUUUUGAAGAAUAUUGCAAUGAGCAUGGUAUUAACCACAAUUUUUCGGCUCCUAUAACUCCUAAACAAAAUGGGGUAAUUGAAAGGAAAAAAUAAAACUCUUUAAGAAAUGACUAGAACCAUGCUAAAUGAAAACAAUUUACCAAAAUAUUUUUGGGCCGAAGCGGUUAACACUUCUUGUUAUGUUUUAAAUAGAAUAUUAUUGAGGUCCAUUCUUAAGAAAACUCCCUAUGAGUUUUGGAAAAACAAGAAAUCCAACAUUAACUAUUUCAAAGUCUUUGGGUGCAAAUGUUUUAUAUUAAACACCAAAGACAAUCUUGGAAAAUUUGAUGCAAAAUCGGAUGUUGGAGUUUUCCUUGGUUACUCAACUUCAAGUAAAACUUUUUGAGUUUUCAACAAAAGAACCAUGGUUGUAGAGGAGUUCAUCCAUGUUAUUUUUUAUGAAUCUAACAAUUCUCUCCAAGAAAGAGAAAGUUUUGAUGAUGAUUUAGGUUUGGAGACCUCCAUGGAAAGAUUGCAAAUUGAAGAUAAAAGGCAACAAGAAGUAAUUGGAGAGGAUCCUAAGAAAGAAGAAUCACCAUUGACACUACCCCUCCUCAACAAGUGCAAGGUGAAUCAAGUCAAGACAUUCCUAAAGAUUGGAAGUUUGUCAUCAACCACCCACAAGAUCAAAUUAUAGGUAAUCCAUCUAAUGGGGUAAGAACUAGAUCAUCUCUUAAAAAUAUUUGCAAUAAUCUUACUUUUAUCUCUCAAAUUGAGCCUAAAAAUAUAAAUGUUGCUUUAGUUGAUGAAAAUUGGAUGAUUGCUAUGCAAGAAGAGUUAAAUCAAUUUAAAAAAAAUGAAGUAUGGAAAUUAGUGUCAAGACCUUCAAAUCAAAGUGUUAUUGAAACUAGAUGGGUCUUUAGAAAUAAAAUGGAUGAAAAUGGCAUAAUUGUUAAAAAUAAAGUAAGAUUGGUAGCCCACGGUUUUAAUCAAGAAGAAGGGAUAGAUUAUGAAGAAACCUUUGACCCCGUAGCUAGGUUGGAAGCCAUUAGGAUGCUACUUGCCUUUGCAUGCUUUAAAGACUUUGUUUUAUAUCAAAUGGAUGUGAAAAAUGCUUUUUUGAAUGACUUUAUAAAUGAAGAAGUAUAUGUUGAACAACCACCCGGUUUUCGAAGUUUUAUAUGAUAAGCUUACAUGCAUAUCAUUGUCACAUCUUUUGUUUGGAUCAUAUAUAUGAUACGCUUAUAUGUUUUCGUGUAUUAUUUACUUAUAUAUGAUAUGUUAUAUGCUUCAUGACUUACACUGUUUCCUAUUGAAAAUUCGCAUGUCUUGAUUAUCUUUGUUUUAACUUCAUAAAUUUUGAUUGAUUGAUCCAUGAUUGAUUUGAGGCGAAGAUUUUUCUUCUCCUAAAUAACCAAGGUUUGUCAUUAUAAAAAAAAAAGGAGAUUGUUAGCCCAAUGAAUCUCCUAAUCAGGUUUUGAUGAUAACAAACCAUGAUUAAGUUACUAAUUGGUUUGAAUUAUAAAUAAUCUAAGGUAUUAAUUUGAAAAUUCAUCAAAUGACCUAAUGGAUACAAGAUAGAGACUUUUGGAAGAUUUUUAAUCAUAGGAAACAAAUGUAAGAUGAAUGCAUGGGUGCACUUUGGUUUUACAUAUCAUUUCAUACAUCUUUGAAAACUUGGUUUAUUAUUUAAAAUUCAAUUUCAUUAAAAUCCGAGUUUUAUCAAAUGUACUUUAGGCAAAACGUUUCAAAAUUGGCAUAUUAAUUUAUCUAAAGACCUUGCCUAAGUGUUAGAAAAGAAAAGAACUGAAAAAGAUAGGUUUUCUGGGCUAAAAAGCUUAACCAGUCGAGGCAUUGACCAACCGGCUCAACUGGCCAGGGAACCAGUCGACUGGUUGCCUUUGUCCGGUCCGAUCGAGGACUAUUAAAAACACACUCUCUCAUCCAGUAAUCUUCUUUUCCCGGUCGAGGUAUCCUCCUUCCCAAUCGACCUCCGAUCUAGGCAACGGUAACCUUCCAAAGCAUUAAAUGCUUCAACGGCUAGUGAACCGGUCGACCCCCAGCUCAACCGAUUGAGGCUGCUUUUUGUUUUUCUUGGCUCCCGAGGUUAGAAACCUAUAAAUCAAGAGCUCCACUUCAUUUAUGAUAUAGAGAACACUUGCAUUCAAUUAUCUACCCACUUGUUCUUACCUUAAAAACUCUCAUUUCUUUCUUGGUGCAUUACAUCUUCACUUGCAUAUCUUUUAGUACACCUUUGUAAGUUAUCCUAGCUUUGAUUUGUAUUUAAGCUAUUAUUGAGCUAGGUUGAGAGAAGAUUAAUCUUGUAAAUUGAGUGUUAGAGCCUUCAAGUAAGUUGAAUCUUACAGAGAUUGUGUAAGAUUCCAUUGGAGCCGGAAUCCAAGUGUAAAGAAAAUUAGAAGCUUGGUUGAAGCUUCAAGUUAGUGGAACCCUCACUCGGUUAGGAGUUUGAGGAGAGUGGACGUAGGCAAGGAAGUGCUGAACCACUAUAAAAUCUGAGUUUGAAUUCUCUAACUCUAUCUCAUUAUAUUUGCUUAUAUUGUGCUUAAAUUUGUUGUGUUGAAAAAGUUUUUGAAAAACCCAAUUCACCCCCUCCCCCGGGUGUUUUGCUUAUUAGCCUUUAUUUUCUCAAAUACGACUUAAAUUAAACAAACUUAAUAUUAAUGACCUUGAUCAAAUAUCAACUAAAAGUAAUAUUUCAAAUAAGAAACUCAAUAAGUUAAUCAAAUUCAAAAUAUAACAAAAGAAAACUCAUAAAUAAAUAAUUUAGAAAAUCAAUUCAAAAUGAAUUUUGUUUCAAUACUCACACCUCCCACAACAAUCAAUACAAUAGCUAAUAAUUAUAUAAUUAGAAAAAAAUAUUAUUCAAAACCUUCUUUUCUAGAUAUAUAAUUAGAAGAAAUAAAUUAUAAAUUAGCUACUAGCCAUAAUGGUAGUAGUUUUUAAGAAUUGAACAUAGAUAUUAUGAGUGAACAUUAGAUAAUCAAUUUACUUCAUGAAAUAAUAAUAGUUGUUAAUGCUUAUAAAAUCAAAACUAAUAAUUUUGAUUUUCUUGUCGUUGGUACUUUAGUCAUAGGAUUCACUAGUGUACUCAAAGAAUGGUGGGGUAAUUAUCUUAAUCAAAAUGAUAGAGAAUUCACGUUAAAUGUAAGAAAAAUAGUAGUCAAAGAAGAAGGAACAUUUGUGCAAACUUAUGAAGAAGAUGUUAUCAAUAUUUUAAUAUUUGCAAUAACAAAAUAUUUCAUAGGAGAUUCAUUUUAAUUUUAAGAAAGAACUUUAGAAAUACUCAAUAAUCUUAUAUGUCCAACUCUUCAAGAUUUCAAAUGAUACAAAGAUAUAUUUUUAGUUGAAGUCAUGACAAAAUAUGAUUGUAGAAAUCAUUAUUGGAAAGAAAAUUUUAUUUUAGGAUUUUCAAUUCUAUUGACAAAAAAAAGUUAAACAAAGAAUUGGAAAUUUACACGGUGAAAGAAUUCCUUAUGAGUUAUUAACUUAUGAAGAAUUAAUUACAUUUAUCAAUAAUAAAGAACUAGCUUUAUGUAUAGAUUUCAAACUUAAGAGUCAAAUGAAAAAAGAAAGACAAGAUAAUAAAAAAAUUUAUAAAAAUUUUGUUCAUAUUAUGAAUACGAUACUUUGGUAGCCCCUUCAAAUAGAAAAAAUAAAAAUAAUAAGCCAAAUAAUAUAACAAGUCAUAAGGCAUCAAAUGAAACAAAAUUUCAAAAGAAAAAUAAAAAUAAUAUUAAAUAAAAAAACUCUAUCAAAUCAAAUUUUAAAAAGAAAACACCAACAUGAAAUACUCUUUUUUCUUGAGUAAUUCUAAAAUCCUUUUAACUUGAUUGGAUGUGAGUUAUGAGUCAUGAGAGAAAUCAAGUAGAUUAGAAGCCAAAACGCUUGAUAAUCAACCCACAAGAAGUAGAUUUAUAUUUUUCAUAAGCAAUAGUCAACCUACAAGAAAAAAAGUGUAUACAUAUAUAUAUAUAUGUAUGUAUAUAUAUAAACUCAUCUUAAUCAUAUAAAUAUGUUUUAAAAUCAUGAGAGAUCCUUGAGUUUGGAACUGUGAAAGACCCUUGAUUUUGGAGCAUACAAUAUAUAAUAUAUAAAUGUGUUUUCAAUCUGUGAGAGAUCUUUGAGUUUGGAGCAUAAAAUAACCAUCUAGUUGGAAACGGAUCCUUACAAAUGCAUAUAAUACUCAAUCUUACAAUUCAAUUUCCAAUUCCAUCUUAUGUAUACAUGGAUUCCUCUUAAUCAUAUAAAUCUAUUUUAAAACUGUGAGUCCUUUGACUUUGGAGCAAACAAUUAAUAUCCAUUUAGUUGGGAAAUGGAUCGUUAUAGAUACAUAUAAUACUCAAUGGCAGAACAAUUCCAGACCCCAUUUCAGACCUUUGGAGAUCUACUCAACAAUAUCCUCAAGAAAUGGAUAAUCAGUGUAGCCGAUUAUGGGUUCGGGUGCGUAGAAUGUCUCCCUGUUAUACUUGUUGAGAGGAGCAUUGAGCGCAAAUCUUUUUGGAAGAUCUGGGUUGGCUAAGAACCAACGUCCAAAUGCAACAAGAUCUGCACGCUCCUCAGCCACAGCAUUGUUUCCGUCUUCUUUCACAUAACCCCCAGCGGCUAUGAAUGUGCCAUUGAAAGCCUUCCUCAAGGGCACAAGGCUGUGGGGACACUCACACAUUUCUCCGGCUGCUCUUAUCCUUGGCUCAACCAUGUGGCAAUAGAGGACACCAUAUUUGUUUAAGGAUUCAACCAUGUAAAGGCCCAGAGCUGUUGGAUUGGAGUCUCCUGCCUCGGCAUGAUGGCCAAAUGGAGAAAGCCUUAUUCCAACCUUAUCAGCUCCUAUCUCAUUAACAACCGCUUCUACUACUUCCAAUGGGAACCUGCAACGGUUCUCUAGGGAUCCACCAUACUUGUCUGUUCGAUCAUUGACCUGGUCUUUCAUGAACUGGUCAAGUAGAUAGCCAUGAGCCCCAUGGAUCUCAACUCCAUCAAAACCUAUAUAUUGGGUAAACAAUAUUAUCAUCAGUGCAUCGAAGAAAUUGACUAGAAAGUUAAUUCAUGAUUAAUUGUAUUAGAGGAUGAAUUUACCAGCUUCCAUAGCAUUUCUUGCAGCAAGUCUAAAAUCAUUGACAACUCGAGGAACUUCAUCUGUUGUUAGCCGCCUAGGAGCUGUGAACUCAGCAACAUCAAAGCCAUUGCUUCGGACUUGUGGCGUCAAUGCCUUGUCUGUAGAAGAUAAUGGAGCUUGCCCAUUUGGCUGGAAUUCUGUGAUGAUCAGUAAUAGGAUAGAUAGAAUUAGAAAACAUUAUCUGUGUAGCAAAUCAGUUUUGUCCUUCACAUAAUUACAACAACAAAAAAGACCUAAAGAAUUCCUUGUACGUCUGAGUAGUAUCCCAACAAUUCAAGAACAUACCUGUGUUUGAAACUCUUCCCACAUGCCAAAGCUGACAAAUAAAGAUACUGCCUUUAGCAUGAACAGCAUCUACAAUGGGCUUCCAGGCUUCAACUUGCUCUUUUGUCCAUAUACCCGGGGUAUGUGCAUAGCUGCAUAGGUGGGGAAAACCAAAUAAUUAAUCUUACAUCUAUCAAAACACAAGAAGGUAAAAGUAUUUGCUGUAAUUACCCUUGAGCAGUGUCAGAAACUCCAGUUGCUUCAGUUAUGAGAAGCCCCCCUUUAGUGGCUCUCUGGGAGUAAUACAAGAUUGCAUGGGGCUGAGGAACAUUGUUCCAAGAUCUCUGUCUAGUUAGUGGAGCCAGAACCACCCUACAAAAUAUUAAGAGUGAAAGAAAAAUUAGCCAUGUUUAGAACUUGCAGACGAAGAAAUCUAACGCAUUCAUCUGAAGAAUAUGUUACAGGAGCACCCUCAAGGCAGAGUUCAUGCUAUGUUUGGUUAUUGAGAAAAAGAAGGCAAAAGAAAAGAAAUUGAUGUUUUAAAUCUUAAAAAGUUUUAUUUCUCAUAACCCAAUUCACAAAGAAUAUUUCCCCUCAACGUAGCCAAAUACAAGUAUACGGCCUCCCUCUUUCUUUCCCAGAAGCCACUAUCAAAAACGUUCUUUUCCUUUCUUUUCUUGUCUGCUUUCUCAUUUUAUGAAUCAAGCACAAACCCAGAAACUCUAACAACACCCAACAAGUGGAAACAGAAGAUACGAAAGAAAAUGCAAGAAAAUGAAGAAAGAAAGUGGUGAAAUAUACCUAUGAGAGAGCUGAAACUUGCCCAUCUUAUAUGGUGUGAGAAGGGGCUGCUUUCCUGGCACUUUUCCUUCCAUUUCUUUCGGUUUUUCUCUUUUUUUUCUCAAAAAAACUCAAUGAACGAAAGAAUCAAACUACAGAGAAUAAAGUAUGAAAAACAAUAUCCAAAGUGUGCUGAGACUUGAAAGUCCAAUGUGUUGAAGCCUAUUUAUAGAGAAGAAGAAGAAGAAGAGAGAGGCUGCUUAGAUCUAUAUUUUUGGCGGCGGCUGCUGCUACAGUUAUAAGAGUGGGACACCAUGCUGAUCAAAGUUGAAUGCUGUCCAAAUCCUUUGUCAUAUCAACUCUCAUUUUCAGUAUGAACCAUUAAAUAAUCAUUAAAAAUAAAGGACUAAUGAGCUGUUAAAUAACCAUUAAAAUUUUAUAAAUAUAUUAAUUUCUUAUUACAUUUAUUUAAAUAUGGUUUUUUUUAAUCAUACCUAAAUGAAUACGUCAAAAUUAUUUUUGAUACAUAUUUUCCAAUUAGUUAUGUUUCAGAAACCUUUUGAUCUUCUAAAAAUUAAAAAAUUAAAAUUAAAAUAUAAUAUUAAUAUUUAUUAAAUAUGAAAUAAUUUAAUGUAUAAUAUAAAUAAAACCAAUCAAUUUUCUUUUACCAUAAACCCUUUUUAGCAAAAUUAUUUAAAUAAGUAAAAAAAUAGAAAAAUAUAUUUAACAACUAAAAAAUAUGAAAAAUGAUAUUUUUAAAUAAUAUAUUUUAAUUGUUUUCGGUUAUUUCACUUAUUUUUCUAUAUUUUUACAUUGAAGCAAAAAAUAAUAAAACCAGAAUCAAUUCUCUUUUACCAUAAACCCUUUUUAACAAAAUUAUUUAAAUAAAUAAAAAAAUAGAAAAUAUGUUUAAUAACUAAAAAACAUGAAAAUUUGUAUUUUUAAAUAGCAUAUUUUAAUUGUUUUAGGUUAUUUCACUUAUUUUUCUAUCGGAAUGUCUUUUAUUGAAGUAAUAAAUAAUAAUAAAAAAUUAACCCACAUUGGCUAAAAAUAAAUUUUUUACAUUGAAGCAAAAAAAUAAUAAAAAAGGAAAAUUUAAUCCACAUUGGCUAAAAAAAUGAGGAAAGUAUAGAAACAAAAUAAGAAAAUAUUGAAAAACAUGAGGCCCCACUAUGAAGUUGAAUAAUAAUUUAUCUAUGGUGUAAAGGUCCAUUUGAUGAGACCACAAACGAUGAAAAAGCAAUAAUUUGAUGUGUAUGUGCAUUGGCCACCUUCAUUGACCAUGAUGCAUCCAUGUCCAAUCCAGAAGUCUUCAUUUGCUGCACCUGCACCCACACCUCCUCCCUUACACUGGUAUUAAAGUAUCGGGAUAUUUCAGUCCGGGUGACCGAGUCCAAGCAGCUAAAAAAUGGGCUGCUGCUCAAAAUGGGAGCAUUUUGCUGCUCCCUUUUGGGGCCAACGAACCAUUGGGGUAAAUUUGCCCUUUGUUAAUUACUAUGCACCACAAAGAUAUAUAUAUAUAUUAAAAGUGUUCAUAGACAUAAAAUAUUAAAACAAUUCUUUAAACUACGAAUUAAUUAUAUUUAUUUUAUAAGUAAAUAAAAUUUUUUUAUUUAAUUAAGUAGCAAAAAGUUUUUAAUAUCAAUAAUAUAUUAAUUAAAUAUUAAAAAAAUAUACAUUUAUAAUCAUUUGAUACAAUUAAAUUAAAUAUAUCAUAAUUUUAAUAUUAAAUAUAUUUUAAAAUUAAAGAUAUUAUAAUCAAAUAUCACAAUAUUAUUAUUGAAUAACAUUUGAUGUAAUUUAAUAAUCAAUGUACACACACACACACACACAUAUAUAUAUAUAUAUAUAUAUAUAUAUAUAUAUAUAUAUAUUCAAUAAAAUAACUUUAAAAUGCCUAUUAUACUUCUAAUUUCAUUUAUAAGAGUUUUGUUUUAUAUUUUUAUAAGUUUUGAUCAAUUUUAAGUCAAUUAAUAUUUUGUGUCAAAAUAUCCGUCAAUAUAUCCGAUAUAUCUAUAAAAUUGAACUACCGAUAUAUCCAUAAUUAUCGAUAUUUUUAUCGUUGCCCUUAUAUCACUGCAUCACCCAAUAUAUCCGAUAUAUCUAUAAAAUUGAACUACCGAUAUAUCCAUAAUUAUUGAUAUUUUUAUCGUUGCCCUUAUAUCACUGCAUCACCCAACCUUUAUUUUUCAUCUUAUUUAUUUUAAGUUCUUUAUGAUAUUAGUAUAGAAAAGUAAUGACCAAUAAAAAAUUGAUAUACAAUUAACUUAAGAUCUUAAUUUUGUAUAUUUUGGCAUAGAUAGGAUAAAUUAGAACUUGGUUUUUUGGAAAAAAAAAAUCAAAUUCAUUUUUCUCAUGUUUCAUAAAUUUAUUAGAAUUUUUUUCAUACUUGGAAAUGGAGGCACACACACUAAUUUUUUUAAAUAAAUAAGAUUCUAAAAAUUAAGAAUCCACUAAGAAUAUUCCUUAAAUAUUGGUGUCUAUCCCAUAAAUUGAAUAUUUUGGAUGAAGACAUUUAGAAUGGGCGGUUAAGAGAGGCCUAAGUCAUAUAUGAUAUACCCAAAACUAGAACUCAUGGGUGGAAAUACACCUCGAAUAUAACAAUCAUCUUUUUAGAGUAAUCACAACCUACUUAGUCAUGGUAAUGGGUGGGUUUGGGAUGGAACAUAAGGUAAGAUAAGUAUAUUUUUUUUUAAAAUUUUUUUAUUAUAUUAAAAAUAAAUAUAUUUUAUAAAUAAAUAAAUAUUAUAAGUUUUUGUAACUUAUUCUUUUGAGAAGUAAAUUUUUUAUAUUAUUUUACAUAUGUUAAAAUAGGGAAAAAAAAUUCAACUAAAAUUUAAUUCUAUAUAUAAUCUUUUCAAUAUAAUCUUUUCAAGGUGGAUUAUAAAUAGAUAUAUAGAAAAAAAAUUCAUUCAUUGUCAUCCCAAAAUCUACGCGUCUCUCAUUGCAAUUGCCUACACAUCUUUCCAUUGGUGGAUAAAGUUUCAUCAACAACCGCCUCUCAUGCAACCACUCAUUUUCAAAUUGACCUUUUGAUUGUGGUGGAUAUACUUUCAUUAACAAUGUCAAAGGCACCUCUCAUAUUCAAAUUUGUGGGGUUGAUUAUUGAUAGGUAAACAUCAAAUGUUCUUUGGCUUUCACCAUGCCUUAAAAAUCUUAUCAACUCAAUUUAAAAGAUAUUAUGAACAUAUGGAAAGAGAUAUAUAGAAGUCAAAGUCCUCUCUUACAUCAUCUAAUAUUCAAAUUUGUUAGCUUGAUUAUUGAUUAGAUUAGGAAAAUAUAGCUUUUAGCCUGACAGAGAAAACCUGAUAUAGAAAACUCAUUCAUUUUUCCUUGUUUUAUAACUUUAUAAGAAUAUUUUCCUCUACUAUAAUGGAGAGAAUUAGAUAUUAUUUUAGAAAAAGUCCAUUCUUCUUACCAUAAUUAUUAUCUUAUUGGAGUAUUUUCCUUUUCAUUUAAGAAAAAUCCUUAAAUUUUUAUUUUACUUUUAGGAUAUUUAUUGAUAAGUCUUUGUUAAAAAGCUCAUUGCUUUAAAAAAAUUGUAAUAACCCAUUUUCUUUCAUUUAAAUAUUGUCAACUCUAAACUCAACACUUUAAAAUACAUUUAUAAUAAAGAUUUUACGUUUACAAAGUAAGUGAUUGUGAUAUCCUAUAUUGGAUAAGAGAAAAAGUUUUUGACGUUAUAUAUGUACAGACUCUUCUUAAUUUGUGGAUUCCUCUUAAUAUUGUAGAUAUGUUUUAAAGUCAUGAGGGUCUAUUAGAUUCAAAGUGAAUAAUAUCUACACAGUUGGGAGUGUUAGUGCAUUAUACAUUGUUGUCUAUGUAUUGAUAAUUUUGUUCUUUUUAUUCUAAUGUAGGAUAUAAAUUAGAAUUGAAAAGGGUAUAGGUUAGAUUAGAUAUUUCAAAUUUUGCAAAAACGGUUUCAAAUUAUGCUUCAAUUUAGGUUUUGUUUAUUUAUUUUUCUUUUUUUAAAUUUGGUGAAUAUGAAUUUUAUAAUCUAAUAGCAAGUCUUUUAGUUAGUAUGAUAUAUUUUAAGUUUUGUUUUAUAUUUGGUAGGCAACAAUGUGAUUUGUGCCAAUUUAAAUGUUGAUGAAUAUUUGCUCAUUUGUAACUCAAGAAUAAAAACCAUAAUUGUUUGAAACUAGGCUUGACUAGAAGCAUGAUUUUCUUAAUACAACAAUUUUUCAAAAAUUCGACGAUGUGUGUUUUUGGGGCCUCCUAGAUUUUUCUUUUUUCAAUGGAUAGACUUCUUUGAAAAUUUGUAACUUGUCAUUCCUUCCCAUGUAAAUAUGAUCCAUUAUGGGUCAAUGUGCUAUGCAUAUAUACCCAACAUCUUAUGUGAGAUAUCACAAUCCGGCCUCCCCACUCCCACAUGGAGACUCGUCCCUAUCAUGUCCCAUAGAUUAUGGGGCCAAACAGACAGUUGCUCCUUAUAAAGUUAGAUAAGUAAAGACUUACAUCAAGGUCAAGGAUCAUCUCUCAUACUAUUUGUAAUGGCUUGCUUUUAACCAUGUAGUUGUUUUGGGUAAAAUGGACCCUCACGACUUUGAAACUUGUUUACAUGGUUAAGAGAAGUAUGUUGCUUAUAAUGUAUUGUAGGAUAUCAUUACCACUCUUGUACAAACAUAAUAUCUUCAUUAUAUCUCGCAGGAUUGCAAGACAUUUAGAUGGACAAAUACCUCUUAUGGGGUUAAACAAAUUCCCACACUGGGUCAAUGAUCAACUUUGAUAUCAUUUGUAAUGUCUCACUCUCUUCGAUAUAGAUGUUAACCGUUUUAGGCCAAUGAACCUUUACAGCUUUAAAAUACGUCCAUAUGAUUUAGAGGAGUUCAUACAUAUAUAAUAUAAAAACCUUUAUCAUUCAUCUAAUAUGAGAUAUUACAAUUACCCCUCUCUUUUUCAUACAAAUAUGAUAUUCUCAUUAUGUCCUCACAAAAUUACAGGGUCAAACAAAUGAAGGCUUACAUCAAGGUUAAGGAUCAACUUUGAUACCAUUUAUAAUACCUUACUUCCUCUUAUGUAGAUAUCAUUCGUUUUAGGUCCAAUGAGUAAUCAUAGCUUUAAAACGUAUUUUAAAGUAGUAAAGAUCCAUUAUCGUUAGUACAAAUAAUAUCUACACGAUUAGAAAUAGGUCACUUUACUUCUCUUUUCCGCACUUCAAAUGUUAACAUAUCAAACACCAUAACUUUUUUUUCUUUUUUUCUUUUUUUUUUUCCUUGAAGGCAAUCUAGGAAUACUCAUUUUAUCACUUCAUUCUCUAAGAGAAGUAUACAUAUCCUUCAUGAGAACACUCACCCAUCUCUACUUAGGGGUUAAAAGGCUAAAAGAAUCGAUGCAUAAUUAAAUAUUCUACCAAAGAUAGUAAUGUCUUUGUAUUAUGAUGAGCCCUUGUUUUGUUAGGCAAUUAAGAUAGUAAUGCGUUUCAAAUGAUUUGUUGUUCUUGUGAGCUUUUCAAGAGUUCUAACAAGAUUUAUUUCAUUAACAUAUAUUGCAAUAAUUGCAAAUUUGGUUUCUAAUUUUUUUAAUGAAGAUACAUGGACAUAUAGGGUUAUUCACAUACCUAUUUUUUUUUAGCAAGUAUCAGCUAAGACAUUUGUACCGCAUGCGUUCGAAUUGUUUUAAUCAACUCAAGGAUCGUUGUAACUUGAUUGAGUACAUGCUAUGAGGUUUUGUACUAUUUGCUUCAGGCAAUUUAAAUCUUGCAGAGAUUUUCAUGUGUAUCCAUAGAACUUUAUAAAUAUGAUGUAGUAACAUCCAUGAGACGCAUAUUCAGUCCUUCUGAGAUUGUCAAACUAAUUAAGAAACGAAAUGUGAUUGUGUUCAUGACGGAAGAGUAUGUUUCAUCGUAGUCAAUAUUAGGUUUUUGCGAAAAACCUUGUGCUACUAAUCGCACUUUAUAUCUUAUGAUCUCAUUAUUCUCAUUUUGUUUUCAUACAAAUACCCAUUUGUACCCAUCAUGCUUUACAUCUUCAUGUGUUUGGACUACAAAUAAAAAAACUUCUCAUUUUGUUAAUGAGUUUAACUCUGCUUGUAUAACUUCUUUCCAUUUUGGCCAAUCAUUUCUAUGUCGACAUUCUUCCAAAUUUUGUGCUUUGGGAUCUUCAUUAUUUUUUAUGAUAUUAGAGGCCACUUGGAAAAUAAAAAAAAUUGUUAAUAACAAUAUUAUUUCGAUCCCAUUUUUCUAUUGUGUGUACAUAACUUACUGAGAUCUCACAAAUUUCAGGUACUUGUGCCUCUUUAGGGGCAACUUGUUCAAUGUGUUCCUCUUCAGGGGCUUUUUAUUCAAUAUAUGCUUCUUUAGAGGCUUUCUGCAUUAUUUGUGCAUCUUAUGGGGUUAUAUAUUUAACAAUUUUAGACUGAUCAGUCAUUUUGAUGGUCUCUUCUAGAGUGCCAAUUUUUUCUUGUGUUUUCCUUUUCUAGAGAGUUACAUUCUUUAAGUCAACAAGUUUACCAUGCUUUAAGCAUAUCUUAGAUUCAUUUGUUAACUGUCUUACAAGAACGUUAAUUCAUGCUAGAGUAUUUGCAGUUAUAAUAUGUGACUUUGUCACUUUCUUUAUAUCAAUAAAUGCAUCUGGUAAUUGAUUUGCAAGAUUUUGCAAAUAGAUGAUCCUUUGAACUUCUAGUUCACAUUGAUUUGUAUGAGGAUCAAGAUGGGACAUAGUAGAUGUGUUCCAAGUAAUUUAUAGUCAUUUUUCAAGAAUCGGUUUUUCUCUCCUUAAUGAUGGGAAAACACUCUCAUUAAAAUGACAAUUUGCAAAGCGAGCUGUAAAAAUAUCGUCUAUCAAAGAUUCAAGAUAACUUAUGAUAGAUGGAGAAUCAAAACUUACAUAAAUCCCAAGUUUUCAUUGGGGGCCCAUUUUAGUGCAUUGUGUAGGUGUAAUUAGUAUAUAUAUUGCACAACCAAAGAUUUGUAAGUGAAAAAUAUUUGGUUGUUUUCUAAUCACAAGUUGUGAAGAGGAGUAUUCAUGGUAAGUUGUAGGUUGAAUACAAACUAAAGCUGCAACAUGUAUAAUAGCAUAUCUCCAAGAAAAAUUAGGUAAUUUGGUUUUCAUUAGCAAUAGUCGAGCAAUUAAUUGAAGACAUUUGAUAAAGGGUUUUGCUAAACCAUUUUGGGUAUGGGUAUGAGCAACAGGAUGCUCAAUAUUCAUCCCUAUUGACAUGCAGUAAUCAAUGAAUGUUUGAGAAGUAAAUUUGCCAACAUUAUCAAGAUGUAUGGUUUUAAUUGGAUAAUUUAGAAAUUGUGCUCAUAAUUUGAUCAUUUGUACAAAAAGCCUAGAAAAGGCAACAUUACGUGUAGAAAGGAGACAAAUAUGUGAACACCUAGUAGAUGCAUCUAUUAAGAUCAUAAAAUAACGAAAUGACCCACAUGGUGGAUGGAUAGGCCCACAUACAUCCCCAAGUAUUCUUUCUAAAAAAAACUAGUGACUUGGAUAUGACUUUAGUAAAAAAUGGUUUAACUAUCAAUUUACCUUGUGAGCAGGCAAAACAUGAGUAUUCAUUAGGCAAAAGAAUCUUCUGGUUCUUUAGUGAAUGUUUCAUGUGAGUGAUCAAUUAUUUAACACAUCAUUGAAGACCCUAGGUGACCUAACCUGUCAUGCCAAAUGACAAAAACUUUUGAGUCAUUGAACUUCUCGUUCACGACAACAUAUGAUUCAAUAGACUUUAUAGUUGUAUGAUACAACCCAUUGGAGAAAGUUGAGAGUUUUUCCAUUAUAAGCUUCUGACCAGAUAUAAUGGAAGUAAUACAAAGAUAUUCUAUAUUAUCUACAUUCAUAGUUUAAAUAUGAUAUCCAUUUCUACGAAUAUCUUUAAAAUUGAGCAAUUUUCUUCUAGAUUUACUAGAAUAUAAAGUAUCAUUUAUAUAGAAUCUAGUUCCAUUUGAUAGCAUUAUGUUUACUCUUUCAGAGUCUUCAACUAAGUUUGUAGUACCAGAUAUGGUACUUACAUUAACUUUUAUCAAUGUCAAUUCGAGAAAAUAUAUUUUAUCUCAAAGAAUUAUGUAUGUUGUUGCAUAGUUUGCGAGACAUAAAUCAUUCUCAUUCAUCUUGAAACCAAAUAACACAUGAAUUUUGGAUAUAACUAAUUUUUUUUUAAAAAAAACAAAGCAUAAUGUAAAUAACAAAAUAAAAUCAGAUGUAAAUAUAAAACAUAAUAAUAUAUUAUUUAAUAUAUAAAGUAACAUCAAUCAAUGUUAUUAUUUUCAUUAUUUAUUAAAUGAUUAGUUUUUUCACUAGGACCUCCAAAGAAAUCAAUAUCAUAGUAGGUUAGGUUCAAUCCAUACCAUCGUUAAAGUUCAUCUCUAUCUCUUUUCCUUUUCCUUUUCUUGAUGUUUGGUAAAAGUUGACCAAAUGUUUGGGUAUACAACAUGUACGCAACCAAUGUGCUUUCAUAUCAUAUGUAUAACAAUUAUUCUCAUGGUUCUUAGGAGGUUUGUCUUGUAUACACUUCUCAUUUUCUUGUUUUGUCUCAGUAUUACUCCACUUAUGGUGGUGCCAUGAGACUUUUCUUUAUAAAAUAAAAUAAAAUAAAAUUGAGGAAUUAUUACAAUAAGAACCAUGAUAUCGGGGAUUCAUUCCACAACCACGACCAUGUCCUCGUCCUUGUCCUUGUCCACGAGUUUGAGACGAUAUUGCAUUCACUUUAAGGAAUGGUUCAUAUCUAAUUGGACAAGAUUAGUUAUUUCUCAUUGAAAACUCAUUAUUUUGUUUAGUGAUAAGAAGACAUGAUAUUAAUUCGAAGUAUUUUGUCAAUCUAUGCUCUCGAUAUUGCUACUACAAGAGCAUAUUCGAAGCGUGAAAUGUAGUAAAAGUUUUUUCUAACAUAUCUUCUUUUAUGAUUUUUUUUUCUCCAUACAACUUUAAUUGAGAGUUGAUUUUGAACAAUGCGAAGUUAUAUUCACUAACAGUUUUAAAAUCUUGCAACCUUAAGUGUAUCUAGUCAUAUCAAGAUUUUGGGAGAAUCACAGUUUUCUAGUGGUCAUAUCUUUCCUUCAAAUUACUCUAUAGAGUAAAAAAGUCAUUUACCGUAAUAUACUCAUUUUUUAAACCUUCGUGAAGACAAUGAUGAAGGAAAAUCAGUAUUUUUGCAUAAUCCUACAGGGAUGCUUAAUUUCCUUCUUUGAUUGUAAUUCCAAUAUUCAUUGCAUUAAGAUGUAUUUCAGCAUCAAUGAUCCAAAAUAGAUAGUUCUUUCAUGAAAUAUCAAGUCCCACAAACUCAAGUUUUGUGAUAUUUGACAUUAUCAAAUAACUUCAUAUAUAUAACAAAACAAUAUUAUUAGAAUCAAUUACAAUAAAUUGAUAACAUUGAUAUAACUUUUUAUUAUAAUCAAAACCAAAUAAUUUGCUUAUAACUUUAACAAUAUAUAACACAAAUUAAAUAAACAAAAUCAAUAAUAAUAUAAAUAUGUAAAAUCUUAUCCUAUAUAAACAAUCUCAAGUUUAAGAUAAAGAAGUAUAUUUAGAGUAAUUCAUGUUGAUAAUGUGUUAUACAAUAAGGAUAAAUGCAAUACAAAUAAAAGUAAAGAUAAAUAUAUAUUACUUUGAUAAUAAUAUAUAAUGGGGAUGAAGAAAUCAAAGAAGAUAAUUAAACAAGUUGAGAGAAUAAAAGACAAAGGCAAUGAAGGAAUGAGAGAAUGAGAAAAUGAGAGAAAACUUUCUUUUCCAUUCCAAAAGACCAUUUAUAGGCUUACAAAAUGCUUUCACUUAAUACUCACCUUUAAAAUGAGUAAAGAAAAGUGUUUAUUCCUUUAGUAAUAGAGGUGGUGGAAGUUCACCUAACAUUUCCAAUGCUUACCUUACUUUAUAUACAACUAUUUUCUAUUUGUAUAUGGCUGCAUGUAGACACUUCUAGUCUCCAUCAUUCUAUGAUAACUAUGGGAAAUAGGUCAUGUGCAUUCAAUGUAGACUCUUACUAGUCUCCAUUAAAGGCUUAUUACUUUAAAAAAUAAAUUUUUUUAAAAACAUAUUUACUAUAAUUUUGAAAAAUUUAUGAAUAUAUAUGUAUUUAAAAAUGGAAAAUUGUUGGGUUUUCAUAAAUGGGUCCCACUAAAAUUUAAUCCAAUUUAAUUUUGUCCUCACAUGCAUCACAUCACAACAUAUUUUUUCGGUUGGACUCCAAAUGGCUUUCAUUUAAAGAAAUAUGAAAAAGUAAAAAAAAAGAAGGAAAAUUCCUUGAGUAGAGUACUUGACUUGGUGUUUAGUCUUAUAAAUACAUUAUAUUUAUAAAAUAUCUUAAAAAUUAAUACUAACUCCAAAUAAUUGAAAUAACUCAAAUUAAUCUAUAUUUGCACAACUUUCUAAUAAAAUUAUCUUAAAUUCAUUUUAGUCCAUUUACAAAAAUAUUAAAUUUGUCAUUAAUAUUAUUAAUUUUAUUGAAAUGUUUUAUCACAUUUUAAAUAAAUAAUUAAAUGAUUUAAAAUAUUUAAAUAAGUUCCAUAUAAAAUAUUUUAUUUGAAAAUUCAUUUUAAAAGUUAGUUUAAAAAAUGUAUGAAAUUUUUUCCUUUUGACUCUAUUUACAUUAUUAAAAAUUUUGCUUAUAAUUUACAUUAUCAUUAUUUAAAACUAAUAUUUAUAUUGCAUGUCCAAUUUAGCUUUAUAAAACACCGGAUUUUAAAAUGGAGCAUAUUACAUAAUAACAAAAAUAGACAAUUAAAAAAAAUAAAAAAUGAAAACACACAAAUUUAUAUAUAAAAUAUUAAACAAGAAAAAUUAUGAACAAAAAGAAAAAAAAUCCAUUAUAUCAAAAAAUUAAUACAAAAAAAAAGUUGCGAGUGAUUACAGUAAAAAUAUAAUCAUCAUAAUCUUAAAAUUAUAUACCAAAUUAUAAUUCAAAUAAUUAUAAUAGAAACAUAAUCAUCAUAAUUUUAAAAUUAUACAUUAUCACACAUAUAUAUUAUGAAAUUUACGGAUCCGAGAAAAUAAAAUUCAAGUUAUCAAACUCUUUGGGAGGUAAAAUUAAAAUGAAUUAUAAAUUCUCCAUGAUUUAAUAGACCUAAAUGAAAGUUAGUAUUAUUAUUAUUUUUUUUAAUAGAUGGAAAUAUUGUUCUUCGUCUUCUUCUAUAAAUUAGAUUUUGUUUUUUUAGUAUUAUUUUACUAAAUGUUGAAUGAAAGGAAGGCGAUUUUUCCUUUCCUUAUUCAUAUAUCCUUUUGUCACCCACCGACAUGAUGACGUCAUUGGUGAUGAAAAAGGUUCAUUAACAAUUAAUUUUGUGUACGAUGACUGACAUAUUGGAUGAUCUCAUCACUGGCAGAUGAAUAGAUACCUAAUUUUAAUCAUUUAAACAUAAAUAUAUUAUUUAAAAUUAUCUAAUAAUGAGAAAAUUUAACUAAAAAUUUAGAUAAAAAUCUAAAAAUAAAAAUAAUAAAACAAGAUUAUAUAAAAAAUUUAUAAUCUACAAAAAAAUAUUUUUCUAAAUAUAAAUAUUAUUUCAAACUUAAAUUGAAAAUUAAAGCAUUCUAUGUUUUUUUUUUUUCUGAAGCUGAAAGAAGGCUACACGCAACUGAUGUUAUUAGGAGGCUCAAAAUCUGGCCAAAAAACUUGGAGGGUCCCACCUUGAUUAUGGAGGCACGGGCACCCACGCCCGUGGAUCCUCUCUCUAUAAAUGGGUUUCAACCGUAAGCGGAUGCUUUCAUUGUUUCAUAGAUUACUUAAUCGAUUAUUUUCUACGAAAAGAAAAGAAACAGAGAAACCAAACACUGAUGGACGGGAAAGUACAAGGACUAAAUGGCGUUUCUGCUGAAUCCCUCAUCCCUCUCAUCACUCCAUACAAGUUGGGCAAGUUCCAGCUCUCUCACAGGUGCAAUCUCUACUUUCUGGUUUGAUUUUCUCCCAUUUUCUUUCAUAUUUUCUGUUUCUGCUUGUUGGGUGUUGCUGGAUUUUGGGUAUUUUGCGAGAAAGAUGGAAUUUGAGGGGAAAUUUAUGUCGUUUCGGUCAUGGGUAAUGGAAAUUUUUUAAGAUUCAGAGUUUUCAUUUCUUUAUCGUUGAGCCCUUAUUUUCAGUGUAUCACAUUGAGAUUGUUCAUGAAUUUAUGAAGCCAGAAAUUAGUGAAAUGAGGGAGACUGUUGCAUUGCCUUUGAAUUCCAGGCCGAAUGCUUCAAUCAAGUUGUUGAGAGUGGUAUAUGGGUUGUCUUUUUCCCUUGUACGCCAGUCUAUCUGCUGCAAAUCAAGCCUAGCUGGGCUUGGUUUCAAUUAUGGCCAAACUUGAUCUCUUCCAUUUUACGCAGAAUGGAAUUUUUUUUUUAACUCUUGUUUCCUGGGCAGAGUGAUCGUCUCUUUAUUAUAACUAAUGGUCAAAUGUAGGAAGUUUCGAAUGAUUAGUGUUUUCCAUGGCAUAAAUGGGGAAUAAGCCCCUCUUACCACUACAAAAUCUGAAGCUUGUUGGCUUUCAUCAGAUCUCUGGAUAAGAAUAAAUUCCUUGCAUGUUUUUUUUUUUUUUUUUGAUGAUUUGUUCUUUAAAAGCAUAUGCUGGAUUUCUGAUUUUAAUUUUGUUUUUUGAGAGAACACUGUUGUUUAAAAGUGGAUACAGGGCGUGUAUGAUUGAUGUUCUGUGCCUGGUUUUAGGCAGAAAAAGAAAUUGUGAUUCUGGGAUUUGGUUUGAACUAGGAUUGAAUCCAUUGCUUCUAAAUUUGGAGAUUCAAUAAUGCUUUAUUUGGGUUUUCAGUUUCUGAGAAAUCCUGCCAGCGAAAUUAAAGUGAUCUAAUUAAUCAUCUUGUUCACCCAUAUGCUUCCUAGGGGUUAACUUUAGUAGUUAAUUCAAUGUUUUCUUUGGCCGAAAGUGCCCCAAUAGCUAAAUUUCCUCAUGUUCCAUAUUUUUCAGGGUUGUUCUAGCACCAUUAACAAGACAGAGAUCUUGGAACAAUGUUCCUCAACCACAUGCUAUCUUAUAUUACUCUCAAAGAACCAGCAAAGGGGGUCUUCUCAUAGCCGAAGCAACAGGAGUUUCUGACACUGCUCAAGGGUACUUGUAGAAGUCAUUUUCUGAAGUUCCAUUCAUUUUCUAAAUGAAAAUAAACAAAAUGUGCUCAAGCACAUACUCUCCAGUGUUUUGAUAUUGAUGUUGGCCCUUUCAAUUUCGUUGUUUUCUUUUCUUUUUUUCGAAUUUUCCAUAUUUUUAGGUAUCCCCAUACACCGGGCAUAUGGACAAAAGAACAAGUUGAAGCAUGGAAACCUAUUGUCGAUGCUGUACAUGCUAAAGGCGGUAUCUUUUUUUGUCAGAUUUGGCAUGUGGGGAGGGUUUCAAACACGGGUAUGUUUUUUACUUACCAUUUGCUGUAGAUUUGAAAGGCAUUCCUUAGCUUACAGCAUGCAAAUGAAUAUUGAAGAGUUCUUGAAUUGUUGGGAUGCAGCCGACAUGGAAUCUUUUAGUUCCCUUUUUUUUUUCUCAAGCUUAUAUGAUGGAAUGAGUGGAUUUUAUUGAGAAAUAAGGUUUAUUUUCUGUUUGGUUAUAGCUCCUCUGAUUUAUCCAUCCUAUUAACUUUUUCAGAUUUCCAGCCAAACGGGCAAGCUCCAAUCUCUUGUACAGACAAGCCAUUGACACCCCAAAUCCGAAGCAAUGGCAUUGAUGUUGCCCAGUUCUCAACUCCACGGCGGCUAACAACAGAUGAAAUCCCUCAAGUUGUAAAUGAUUUUAGACUUGCUGCAAGGAAUGCUAUUGAAGCUGGUAUGUGAUAUUUUCAAUUAAAAUAAAUUUUGGUGAUGGUGAACAACAUUUGAUUAGCCAAAUCAUAGCAUUUGAAGGUACAAACCCGUUAUCAUGAAUGGUCAGUUCAGAAAAUGGCAGCCAUCCCACCAUUGAAUUAUUGGAUUUUAGUCUUAGGAUUUAAUGAAUGAAGCCACUUCAGUUUUGUUACCUCUGUUGGAACUGUUUGCCUUGAGAAUUAUUUAGUGCCUAUGAUUAACAAAUAUUUGAACUUCUUCUGCAAAACGAUUGUAGUGAUGCUAUUGAACCAUUUCGUGGAUGUAAUUCCCAAAUACUAAACCGCACUUGAUUUGCCCUUCAAUUUCUUUGAUGCAAUAACAUUACUUGUUCAAUAUGUAGGAUUUGAUGGAGUUGAGAUCCAUGGGGCUCAUGGCUACCUACUUGACCAGUUCAUGAAAGACCAGGUCAACGAUCGAACUGAUAAAUAUGGCGGAUCCCUAGAGAACAGAUGCGGGUUUGCUUUGGAAGUAGUUGAAGCUGUCGUUGAUGAGAUAGGGGCAGAUAAAGUUGGAAUAAGGCUUUCUCCAUUUGCUGCUUAUGCAGAAGCAGGAGACUCAAAUCCAAAAGCUCUAGGCCUUUACAUGGCUGAGUCCUUGAAUAAAUACGGGCUUCUCUACUGCCACAUGGUUGAGCCAAG